ACUCGAACACAGAGACAUACAUUAUUAAGUUUAUUCUCAUAGUUUCUUUUCUUAAACUUGAGUCACUUCAUUACAAAUGCACCAAUGUUUACUUAGAGUCAUACACACGUAUGUGCAUAUAUGAGACUUAAAAGUAUAUUUCAUAGAUUUUAAUGACCGGGCUGAGUCUGAACAGCUUCUGCUCCGUGUCCCCCGCGUCCACCAUGGCCUCCUCCUCCAUAGUGUCCUCCUCCUCCGUAGUGUCCUCCUCCUCCUCCGUAGUGUCCUCCUCCUCCUCCUCCGUAGUGUCCUCCUCCUCCUCCUCCGUAGUGUCCUCCACCGUGUCCUCCUCCGUGUCCUCCUCCUCCGUUGUAACCUCCAUGGCCACCACCAUAUCCAUCAGGUUUCUCAUUUUCCUCACUCUCUGACUUCACCGUGCCUGUUCCAAACACACACAAAAAAAAAACAAAAUUAUUUCAAAAAUAUUUUUAAGCACGUGCAAAUGUGCAUUCCUUUGCCUAUUUCAUAAUUGAACACUUUUAAAAAAUGUAUAGAAAUUCGGGAUAAUGAUGUAGUUGUAGUGACAGAAUUACUCUGAACAGCUUCUAGUCCAUGUCCCCCGCGGCCUCCAUGUCCCCCGUGGCCUCCUCCUCCGUAGUGUCCUCCUCCGUGGCCACCACCAUAUCCAUCAGGUUUCACAGUUUCCUCACUCUCUGAGUUCACCGUGCCUAUCCCAAAAGCGAAACCACAUUAUUUUAUAAAUAUUGUUAGUACGUACAAAUGUGCAUUCCUCUCCCCAAUUUCAUAAUUAAAUUUCUCUUAAAAACUUUCUAAAAUAUGUAUAUAAUUCCGAUCUCUAGUUAUAAAAAAAAUGAGUUCAACAUUAAAUAUACGUUUUAUAUAAAUUGGCGUCAAGCAUCUAAAUAGUUUGGGAGGGUCUAAUAGGUAUAAGAGCAUGUACAUCAGUGAACCCUUAAAAGAGGGGUUUAACAGAAUAUAAUAACAUUUUUUUUUUGUUUUAGUUUUUUUUUUUUUUAAUUCGAAAAUUAUAAUUUUCGACCAUGUUUUAUUUGGGAUGAUACCGUCUCUUCAGGUUCGUCGGGAUGAUACUGUCUCUUUAAUAUUAAGAUCUUUUGUCUCAAAAACCGUGCCAUGAACCCCUCUUGAUCCUCUGAUGUAGAUGCUCUAAGAAGGACUAAACGUCAUAAGUAAGCGUAAGUGUCUUUUCUUACUAGGACAUCAACAUGAUACUUAAGUGUGUUUAUGACUUAGUGAGUCCAAAUAAUUGACCAUCGUUCACCCCAACUUUUCGCAUUUAAAACGGACGAGAUAGUUGGACAAAAUUAUCAAAUGGUACGUUAGUCCGGUUAGAUUAGCUUCACGAUAAUUUUUUUGUUUUCUAUAAAAUAAUUUUACGUACCCGACUGCCUUGCUGAGACGACGAGAAGAAAUGCAAACACACCCAACAGAAGCAAAGUCUUGGAAGCCAUUUUCUUCAAACUGCUUAUAACACUUUUAAUUUGUAUAUAUGGAGAAAGAAGUGAUGAAUAAAAUGUUAGCCUGCAUGCUCUCUAUUUAAGGAAAACGAGGAGGGCAGAAUGAGGAAAAGUCAAAUAAAUAAUUCGUAGUGCAGUGAAAAGAAGUAUUUUUUUAAUUAAAAGCAAAAGGGAGAUUUAGUGUAUCACAAAAUUUAGAGAAAUUGCAUUGUUUGCAGAUAAAGACACACUUUUUAGUAGCAAAUAAAUAAAACUAUAUUUCUUUGCGCAAGCGAACAAAAGGGAGUUGUAUUAUUCUAGAAGAGUUUAGAUCUAAUUUAUACCCCCCAAAAAAUAUAGUUUAGAUAUCUUUAUCUGUAUCAUGCAAUCUUUCUUUGUAAACAUCUUGAAUAGAGUUAAUAUAUGUUACGUGAUUUAUAUUAGAUUGCAUGAAACAAAAAAUACGUGAAACAAAGUGUUUCGAAAAGGAUAACAAUUUUAAAAAUGAUAGGAAACGUUUGCUUUCGGAAACAUAUAUUAUAUAUAAAACAUCAAAAUCAUAUGAAAAACAAAACGAAACAUUAAAACCAAACGAACUUUAAUACUUAUAUAUCAAACAGAUAAAUAAAGAUACAAAUCCAAACGUGGUAAGAAGAUAACGAAAUUUUCAUAUUUUCGAAUUUACUUCAUCUAUCCUACAAAUAAGAUGGUAAGACGAUCGAUAAGUAUGAUCAAAGUAUAUCUGUAUCCGUUGCGUCGAUUCCCAUAUGGUGGGUUGUUGGAUUGUGAUUUGUGAAAAACUUUAACCUCAAUAGUCUUUUAGAUAUUUCUUAUCAACGUCUUUAAACAUAGGAACCAUCGGACAAGUAUUGAACUAUUGAUAUGUAAGAAUUACAUUAUUGGCCAUAACUGGUAUUAUUGUUACAUUAUUAUUACUAUAAUUUGGACACAAAAUUAGUCCACUAUUUGUACUUUAACUCUUUAAGGAUCUUCUUUGAAAAUCUCAGCCGACAGGUUUUUAAGCAGACGGAUAAAGAAUUAAUACGAAGUAAUUACUAAGAACUUACCUUUAAAGGGUGAAAUUUUGCUUGGCUAUAAUUUAUUCAGGCCUACAUCGAUAAAAAAAAAUAAAAAUCAUUCCAGUGACCUAAGUGUAAAGGAGCUUGAGAUAUACGUGUUGAGAAGAUGAGCAUUAUUAAGUGUACAGAAUGUAGCUGCCGUCCUAAUUAUAAUAAAAUAGAAGUUAAUCCGCACAUUGUAAGGGAUAAUGUUUUUUUAAUUAUUUUUAAAUUUAAUUUAAUUUUUUUUAGUUAAAUUAAAAUUGGUGGCAAAAAUAUUUUAACAAAAAAUAUAAAUAAACAAAAUUAAUAAAAAUUAAAUAAUAUAUAUAUAUAAAUAUCACACAACCGAUAUUUAUUUGUAUAUAUAUAUAUAUUAUAGAGUAUGACUUUGAGCUAAUUUUGUUAUGCAGUUUAAUUAUUCAUAAAAUAAGAAUUUAAUUUUGAAUAUUUUAUUAGAGAUUAAACUAUUAUUUUUAGUUAAUAAAUUAUAAUAUAUGUUAAUAAUAAUUAUAUAUAGGAUUAGACAAAUUCGUCUAUUUAAUUUAUUUUAUAAUUUUUAAAAUAUUAUUUCGACCAAUCCGCAAAAAAUAGAUUUUAAACUUUAAAUUAUAUUUUAUUUUUUAUAAUAAUAAUUGAAUUGAUUUUCAAAAAUGAUGCUAAUUAAUUAUGAAAAUACAAAUGAAAAAUAUUGCAAAAUUUAAAUAGUUUUUCAUAUAUAUGGAUUGAUUAUUAUUUAAAAUAAUAGAAUAUAUUUUAACAUUUUAAUAAGUAAAAAGCAAAAUACAUUUUUUAUUUAUAUCCAUAUAUAUUCAAAACAAAUAUGUGAGCUAUAUAUUUAACUAUCUCUUGUGAAGAAAUAUUUAAUUAAAAAUUUUAUAUUUGUAAAAUUUAUUUAUUUAAUAUCUUUUAAGUAAAGGUUUAUUUAUGUAAUAUUUUAUAAAUAAAUAUUUAUUUAUGUAAAAUAUUCUGUAAUAUCUUACAAAUAAAAGUUUCUUUAUAAAAUGUCUAUUCAAAUAAUAAUGUAGAGAUGUAAUUUAAUUAAAGUCUAAUUGAUAUGAACUUCAUAAUUAUUAUAAAAAUAUGAUCAAUUCCAUGCGAGUGAAAAAGAUUUACAUAGUUAUCGUUUAUUUCUCAUACAAAACUAUUUUAAUUUUAAAGAGUAAAACGUAGCAGAAAAUGAAAACUGGAACUUUUUUAGAAUAUGACAGCUAGUUUUAAAAAUGGGAGAUGGCUACAAUACCGUUUCAAAAUAAUAGAUUAAAACUUAAUCCCAGAUAUCCGACUUGUUGAUGGUUUCUAUUUGCUUACGCACACUAAAUAUAUUAACACUCAAGAGAGGGAAAGUGUAAAUUGUAUUAAUGAAAGUGUUAGUGAACCGUAUUACAUUAAUUCCCUUUUAUAUACCAACUAGGUUAAGAAUAAAUACAUAUAUGUUAAUACAUCCCUCUCAAACCGAAUCAACCUUAGGUAGAAAGAGGUUUGAUAAUAAUACACGACUAAGCAAAAAAUGAAAUGGACCUAGAUGCAAAGGCUUCGUCAACAUAUCAGCAAGCUGAUUCGAAGUAGAGACAUGAAGAACAUUUAGGAAGCCAUUCUUCACCUGAUCUCGGGUUAUGUGGGAAUCAAUUUCCACAUGCUUAGUUCUCUCGUGAAAUACAGGGUUAUUGGCAAGAUUCAUAGCUGAUUUUUUUUAUCACAAAACAGGUUGGCUUCAGAAGUUACCGGGAUAUGAAGAUCAGUCAGUAAUUGGUGCAGCCAAAGUAACUCUCCCGUAGUAACAGCCAUGCUCCGAUAUUUGGCCUCCGUGCUGCUUCUAUUAACCAUUUCCUGUUUCUUGGACUUCUAGGUGAUAAGAGAUGUUCCAAGAAAUACACACAGACUCGUUACAGAACGACUGCAUCUGAAAAUCCAUUCAAGCAUAACUCUGUAGUAGCAUAAUAGAAAAAACCUUAGCCCAGAUUUUCUUCAAAUAUUUAAGGAUCUGGAAAGCAGCUUGAAAAUGAACAUUAGUGGGGAAAGACAGAUACUGACUCCACUGAUGCAGCGCAAAAGUGAUAUCAGGACGAGUAAUGCAGAGAUAUUGCAAUCGACCAAUCAAUUCGCGAUAUGAAGUUGUAUCAGAAAGAGACGUACCCGCGGACUGGAUCCAUCAAAACUGAUUUUGGUUUAUAACCAAGGAGACCAUAAUCUUCAAUAAGAUCCAAGCAGUAUUUCCUCUGUGAAACAGAUAACCCCGAAGCAUUCCUUGCAAUCUCAAGACUCAAGAAGAAAUGAGCUUGGCCAAGAUCUUUGGUCUUGAAUGGGAUUGUGAUAUAUUCAUAUCAUUUCGUGUUUAGGAUGCAUUUUUGGUCCAAGAAUAGAGCCUCAUGCAUACAUUUUAGAUAGAUUCUUCAUGUUUUCUUUGUUUUAGAGGUUUAGGACUUUGCAUUAGGUCCAAGUGAGUCUUGCAUGUUUGGAGUGUCAAUCAGGUGCUUUGGAGGUCAUCUGGAGAUGAAAAUAUGGAACCAGGUGAAGAAAUGGUGAAAGAAGGGCAAGAUAUGGUAAAAAUGAGGUUUUGGAGGUUAUCGGCAAAAUUGCUUACUGCGGGAAGAUUUUUAUCGGCCAAAAAUCAUUCCCGGGAAGCAGUUAUCGGCCAAAACAUGUACCAGACCAAGUCUGUAUCGGCAAAAAUCCUUUGUCGUGGGAAAAAAUGUUUAUCGGCUAAAAUACGUACCGCAGUACGUAACUUAUCGGCCAAAACGUGAAUUAUCGGCCAAAAGUUUCCCGACCCGAUAUGCUUCAAAGAUGCCUUUACCAGAAAGCUUUCUCGUCCGAUUCAGUUUCUAGUGUUUUCACAAACGUUCAAGAGAAUUGAGUCACAAUUCCAGAACAGUUGGAAUCAAUGGAUUUGGAGCAGUGAGCUGAAAGAUACGGCCAACAGAAGAUGAAUCUGCCUCGCAUCCAUUCUGGUCAUAUCCGAUGCGACUCAAAGAUCACUCAGGAUGAAACUCUUCCCUUCCAAUCUAGUUUCCGGGGCUCUAUCAAGAUUUGAGAGAUUCGAGUCAUAUUUCCAUAACGCUUAGAAUCAUUCCAUUUGGAGUGUUGAGUUGGGAGAUAUCGCAUUCGGGAGACAGACAUGCCCUGCAGUAAGAAACUAGAACCUCCCGAGCCAAUGCAAUGAUCCGUUUACCGGAAGGCCUCUCUCACCCGGGAUGCACUUAAGUUCUUCAUCAAAGUUGUAUGGAAUUGAGCUGCCUUUCCUCUGGAGUUUCUCUCGAGUCAUUUAGACUCAUAUCCCACAAGUUAUGCUAGCUCAAGUAAACAUAGAUCCGAGGAAAUGAGAAAUGCUGCGACAUGGCUUUGCGACUCGGUCAACUUGCAGCGAUGAAUGUUUAAAUUCUGGGAGCAAGCUGAGACUUGAAAUGAUGCGGGUGAGGUGACUCGGAGCAGGGUAAGGAUUUCCAAAGCUCAAAUAUUUCUAAGUCCAGAACAGCCUAUGACAUGGCAGUGCGAGAUUGAUGAUGAGAUGAACCAUGUCGCACACACACUCGCUUGGGGCCGCGACAUGACAGUGCGAGAUGGAUGAAGAGAAGUAACAUGUCGCACUCCUACUCUCUUGGGGCUGCGAACGUGAAGCUGUGAGUGGGAAAAGAAGGAUUUAAGCUGCAAGUACAAUUGCUUGAAUGAUACGACAUGAAAGUGCGGCUGAAGAAGCAAGGGAGCUGAGACGUAACAACAUUCACUUGGGGCUGCGAGAUGGCAGUGUAGGUGAACUGAAGCCAGGACCAUCUCGCACCAUGGCCACAUGACCCAACUGAACCAGGUCAGUACACAGUUUGUCUUGAGCUGACCCGCUCCAAAACACUUAGUAUAAAUAGCUUUUAGGGUUUUUUUCCAAAGAACAUCUCAUUUUCCUUUAGGUUUUUAGCCACUUUUGUGUAAGAGACAACUAAAGAGAGAUAUCUCCUUUCUUUUCUUUGAAUCAAAAAUGUUUGAGAGCUUAAUCUAUCUAUCUUAUCAUCAUUACUAUUCAUCAUCUUGUUUUCUCUAUCAACUAAUCAUGUUUAAUUACUUUUCUUGCAAAGGAAUCAGAGAGUUAAUCAUGAUUAGUGAGUAGUCGCGUCAUUAGGGUUCUAGAUAUGUAAGUUAGGGUGUUUAGAGGUUUGAUUAAGGCUGCUUAGGAUUAAAUUUAUACAUCUCUGUCUUGUUUAGCUGAUUUUAAUGCUUGGUUAUAGAUGAUCUCUCUAACCCAGAUUUUGGGCAUUUCAUCUACCCAAAACGUGUUUGAUGAAAUGCCUGAACCAGCUAAGUCAAGAGUCUAUUGUUUGAUUCACAUGAAAAUGUUGUUUUGAGCAUAGAUGGUAUAUUAGGAUUCGUGUUUAAUGCAUUCCUUUCAUUGUGACUCUAAUGAUGAUUAGGUAUGAGCAAUGUUUGGUAUUGUGUUUUGAUGCUUGAGAAAUAUUGAAACUUGAUUUGAAUCCUAAGCUGCUUAGAUCAUUCAUCAUCAUUGUCAUUAGCUCCUUGAUUAAACUAUGAUGCACCCUAGAAACUAUCAUGUCUAGAGCUCUAAGUUUCAUCAUAUUCAUAUCAUCUUAAUCAUUUUCUGUCUUUAUUUAUUGCUUGUUUAAUUCUUUAAUCUUGUUUAAUUGCAAUUCUGUCACUUGUUUGAAACUAAAACAUUUUGUUUGUUUGAAUUAAGAAUAGUUCAUAUAGAUUAGUGAACUAAACACCACACCUUGGAUUGAUAACCUUUGUACUACAACAGACAAAGGGAUUGAUACCCUAAGAGCCUUGAAAAAUCUUGUCUACCAUAUUGAGAGAAUCUUCUAAAUAGACUUGACAGCUUCAUCAUCAUUGCUCGCUAUAAGGAUGUCAUCGACAUAGAUCAGGAGAUAAAUAAAUAAUGUACCUGUUAGCUUCACAAAGAGGGUGUUAUAUGCAUAAGACUGUACAAAUCCGGCAUCAAGUAAGACCUUCGACAAACACUUGUACCAUUAACGAGAUGUCUGCUUCAAGUCAUAGAUGGAUUUAUCAAGUUUGCAAACCUGAUUAGCAGGCAGAUGAACAUCAGCUGGAGUGUAACAUCGUGGCAAGCUCAUGUAUAUCUCCUCAUCGAGCUUACUGUGCAAGAAAGCAUUGGUUACAUCCAUUUGGGUUAAGCUCCAACCCAUUCAUGCGGCUAAACCAAGGAUAAGCUUCACACUGGCAAGCUUGGAAACUGGGAAAAGGUGUCAAAGUAAUCAACACCUUUUUGUUUUGUGUAUCCCUUUGCUACCAGGCAAGCUUUAUAACGCUCCACAUUUCCAUCUGCAUUAUACUUAAUGGUAAACACCCAUUUACAACCAACAACAUUUUCCCUCGGAGGCAAUGACACAACACUCCACGUAUUGGUUGACUCCAUUGCUCCGAAUUCCAAAUUGAAAGCAUCAGUCCAUUCUUUGGAUGAAAUCACCUGCUUAAAGGUGUUAGGCUCAGUCUCCAUUGAAAAAGAGAGAACAAUAGACUGAUAUGGGGUGUUAAGAGUAGAGUAAGAGAGAACAGAAGAAAGAGGAUAUGGAGUAGUAUAAACCUUUAUAGAAAUGGGAGGAGUAGAAAUUUUUGUUAAAGAACAAUGAUAAUUGGACAAAUAACGUGGUACUUUUGUCGAGUGUUUUAGCCUGGCAUUGGGAAGUGAAACCAGAGCAUUCUCUGUGACAACAGGGUGAUGGAUUUUCCUUGGAGCACUAGAGUGAGAUGAUGAUGCAUGUGAUGUAUAAAGCGGAGGAGAAUGGAUGGUCACAGUAGAUGAAGGAUGCAAAUUAUUAGGCAGUGAAAUCACCUAAUCUAAUGCAACAAGAAUUGGCAAUGGUAAUAUAAACUCUAAAAAAAUAUCAGAAGAUGAACUAGAAAGAAGAUGCUCAGUAAAAGGAAAUAUUGUCUCAUGAAAAACAACAUUUCGAGAAACAGAGAUAAUUUUUGAAUCAAGGUUCAAGACAUUAGAAUACCCUAAGAGUACACAUCGAUCCACACGAGGACUAAAAUUAUGUUUAUCCUUCUGUAACGUAGAAACAUAACAUAAGCAGCCAAAAGAUCUUAAGAAUAAGUAAUCGGGCUUCUUAAGCAUAACCAACUCAUAUGGAGAUUUGUGUUUAAGAAUAACAGAAGGUAAUCUGUUUAUCAAAAGACAACUCCAAAUGAAGAUCCGCUUGCGGCUAUAGCUAGAUCUGAGAGUUGCGAAUAUGCUUACAAAUUUUCAGGCUGAUCCAAUCCGAUUUGCCUGUCUGUUUCUCUCUUACACCAUAACAGGUCGGAUCUGCCACCUAGAUGGUUACAAUGGCUUCGCCUUUAAGGUUCUUGGCCACAAGAUAGCUCUCUGAUCUCUUCUAAGACAUGGCUGCUCUAUUUAUAGAGUGGAGAAGAGAUACUUCUAAAUUUAGAGUUUUAGAGAGGAAAAUAAUGAAAAUGGGUUUGAGAGUUUUUCUGAUGGGUUUUGAGUAAUCAGGCUGAAAAAAAAAAAAAAAAUUAGACCAAACCCUAUUCUUGGGAUGUCACAGAUUUAUUAGAGAAUAUAUUUACAUGAGUUUAUAAUUAUUUGUAUGAUAUUUACAUGAGUUUAUAAUUAAAUCGUACAUUAACAUAGCAUCGUUAUUGGAUAGUUAGUCGGAUCGGUUCAACCGGUCAUACGAAAAGUUUGUUUAAUAUAUAUAUAUAUAUAAGAAAAUAAGAAUAGUUAUUUUAAGAAAAAUAAAGAAAAUAAAAUUAAUUUCUUUUAAUUAUUUACAACUGCCAGCCAGCGAUUACAUCCGUCGCUUGAAGAAACUUAUUAUCUAAAUGAAUAAAUAAACUUUUAAUUUAUAGCGGUUCUAAGCGUCACAAAGAGAUAAGAAACAAGUUCAACGGUUUUAGUGAUUGUUAUUAAACGUCACGAAAAUAUAACCGUAUGCAAACAUAGCGUAUGUGGCUGGCAGCGAGAAAACUAUCCAACACUAAAUAUUACAUAUUUACUUUAAAAUUCAUGCCUGCUUAUUACCAAACCAUAUUUUUACCAAUUUUAAUUGUGACAUUUAAUGUCCGCACAUGCGUACAGGCCAGUCAUAAAUCUGAUAUAUUGCAUUCACAUCAAUUUGUGUGUAUUUUUGUUUUGAUAUGUCUUCUGAUUUUUUUCUGUCCUAUGUAACCAUUUUUUGAUAAUUUUAAUUGGUUGAUCAUUAAUCUUUACGUGUCUUUUAAAAGUGAUGUGGUAUAAUCGUUUUAAUUAGAUUAUUAAAGCUCGUUUAAGAUUGUCUUUUUAAAAACGACAAAAAAAAUCGGACAAAGUAAGUAAUAAAAAUAAAUGUAUGACCCAUAUAUUUGAAAGUGUCACUGGCCCAAUGGCAGAAGUCUCCCUUAUGCAUUUGAAGGACAUGUGUUUGAACCAAGGUGGUAACAAUUUUUUAAAAAAUCGUAGAAUUUUAAAACGACAUCGUUUUGAGUUAACCUAACAGUAACAGCAGAGUUAACAGCGUUUAACUUUUCUGUUAACUUUAUAAACGGAGUGCUGAUUUGGCAAGUCAACGAAAAGUUUGUUAUUAUUUAUGGAAGUCAACAAAAAUUAAAUGUUUAUUUGGCUAGCCUGACAGUUCAUGCUUUUUUUUGGCAAAAUGUGGAAAGUUUAAGGUUUUUUUGGCCGAAUUCUCAAAAUAAACUCAUUAAAGUUCGUUUAAAUUGUUUUUUUAACCAAUAAACAUUAAAACCUGUUUAAGAUUGUCUUUCUAAAAACCAAUUAAAGUCUGUUUAUAGUUGUUUUUAUUAAAACCAAUGAACUCAAAAAACCUAAUAUACUUCUUCGAUACACUAAAUAUAUAUAUAUAUAUCCUCUCUAACAUAGUUUGUCUUUUAAUGUUCUCUUUUUCGGUAAACAUUACAUUUGCUUUUUUCUAUUAAUUUUAUUAACGUACGCUUGAGUUUGAGUUUGUUGCUUGUGCUUAUAAAUUUUUUUGUAACAAUUCCUAAUCUUUUUAAGAUUAUGAUUGAAAAUGUUAGUAUAAACAACCAUAGUUUAAAAAAUAGCAUCAAUGUUCACAUACUCGUGAAACAAUGUAUAGCAUCAAGUCUAUCAAUUUUUUUGGUCUCUUAUUUUAGAUUUGAUGCGGCAAAAAGAUUGCUUUGGGAACCAAGUCUUUUUUUUUGUUGGAAUUAUCUUCUAUUCUUGUCAGUUUUUAUUUUUCAUGCAAACGUUGACAUUAAAAUCUCUUUGUUAGAUUUGAUACCAUAUUAAAUUUCAAAUCUGAAUUAAUCAUUAUAUUUAUACAUUAUUAUUAUGGAUGAGUUUAUUUUCGUUAUCUGUAGCCCAAACUCUCUUCCCACGAAAAAAACGAUUAAACCAAUAAUAUUUAUUAUAAACAGGCCGAUAGACUUUAGUAUAAACAAGUUUCAAUAGCCUAAUUAUAACAAAAUUUGUCACAUCGCUUUAAAGCACGUAUAGAAUUAAUGAACGAACAAAAAAUAAAUACAUGACAUGUCAGGACAAAACGACACAUAAGAUUUUGGACUUCACAAAUAAUAGUAACUAGGAAUUAACAUGCACAUUGUGCGGGGUAAUGUUUUUAAGAAUUUUAAAUAUUUUUUAAAAAAAUUUUGGUUAAGUUAAAAAUUGGUAGCAAAAACCUUUUAACAAAAAAUAUAAAUAAAUAAAAUUGGUAGCAAUUAGAUAACUAUAUAUAUAUAUAUAUAUAUAAAUAUCAUACAACCGAUAUUUACGUGUAUAUGUAUCUAUUGAAAGAACUUUGAGCUAGUUUUGUUAUGCGGUGUAAUUAUUAGUAGUUUUUAAAUGUGAAGGUGAUGUGAUGUUAAUAUAUUCAUACUUAUAUACUGCUGGGAUAAAUUCGAUCCUUCCUACAUGGACGAACUGCAUGCUUGCACGUGGCGUCCAUGUUUUUUUUUUCAGGUACGGCCCCCCUGGGCCAAAUUAGGAUCCGUAGUGGGUCGUAAGCAUAUAGCACUGGGCCUCGAAUCCAUAAGGAUUCGGGAGAUCCGGUACGAUAGAUCACUUGUUCCCGGGUUCCUCGUAUCUAAUAGUGCAGGCCACGCUGUCAGAAGUAAGGAGGUCGAAACUGAGUGGUCAAGAGGAGGAGAAGUCCCAUUUUCUAUGUCCUAGGCCUAAACAUGGUAAUCCGGAAAGGUCGAGAUAUAAGGUAGUGUGGCCUACACAGGAUCUGGAGAGCGGAGUCAUCCAUCGAGACAACCCCGACAGCCCGGUCCCAGUAUCGAGGGAUCCAUGUCAGGUAUGAAAUAAUUUUAUGAGCGGAAAACACUAUUCAAAUUUUCCUCCAUUCGAUAAUAGGAAUAUGCCUUAGUAUGAUUUGAUUGCCCAUACUCUUACAAAACCAUGAAAUUGGCAUUUAAUGCACCCUUCUUACAUGUGUCAGGCGACAGCGACCUUUCACAGAAACUAGAGGAAAAGAAGAGGUUCAUCAAGAGUUAUACCGCGUAUGAACCGCCAACCCAAUCCGUACACUGGAGACGAAAGGAACAUGCUAAGGAGCGGUCUCGCAGCAGGCAGAACACGUCAAGGAAAGUUGGUGAGACCGUCAGAGGUAUGACGUGGGAAAAAGAUUUGAACCCAAUAAAAUCGGAUCGAGAACCGACCAACCCACCCGACUCGCUAUGCAAGGACAGACCCGGUAUACUAACCCGGGUCAGGUAAAAUCCUAUAAAUACAUUAUCCUUUCCAACAAGGAAGGAGAUCACUUUUAUUUGCUAUCUUAAGGCUCAUAUUAUCUCUCUAGAUACUUGUGAUCUUUGAGCCCUAACAUAUUAUACUUUCCGGUCAUUACUCAGAACAAUGUUUUAGUUCUUCUCCACGGCGGUUCCUAAAUCGUGGAGUAUUUCCACCCACAAACUCUUUCAUUUCUUCUCUUUUAACUAAUUCUUUAUAAGGAACGCUGGGCCCAUCUUUCUUCUCUCGUUUUCCGAACUCUUUCCUCUCUCCAAUUAGUCACUCUGUGAUCUUUCUUCACUGUUUUCUGACUUGAACGUCGGAGAACCUUCCGAAAACACACCAUCAUCGUGUUUUUUGGGCCUUCACGUGCUUUCUGUUUUUGCAAGAGACUUACCCCCACAAAGGAUCAAAAAUCUCUAAAUAGUUUAGCGCUAGAAAGAGGAGGGCAACACUCUUCUAUAGGAAGAACUGAAACCAUACACGACCUUGAAGGUAUGUCAUGACAAGAGAAGACGGAGGUAGCUCACCAGAGAACGACACCUUGGAGGGGAUGGAAGGAGAGAACAUCUGCUGGGUCGACAGACCGACCAAGCUAUUCUCGGGAUGCCCGAUGAUAAGGGGAACAUCUUUGGUUCCCCACGCCGCCGCCAAACGCACACUCAGAACUCGUCCAGAGUGUAGAAGAAAAUGCCCUGUAAAAUUCCUUACAUCCAAAAACCUUAGUGAAAGUGUUGGCAAACUGGUCAUUAUAUAUAACAAAUGAGUUAAAGACUCGUGGGCAAUGCCCAAUAAAGUCUGCCAUGGAUUGGUCCUGUACAACAGUUUUUAUAUCAAUUAAAAAGUGCAGGCCUCGUAGGUUGAUCGAUUGCAGUUUGCGGAUUAAACAAUUGGGAUCUAUACUAGUUUCGGCAAAGAUAAUUGACAAGAACGUCCAAAACCGGCUAAGUGAAAGACAACGUCUUGGAGACCAAAAGUAUGAAAGAAGCCUCAUGUAUUGGUUUGCCACACACAAAAAAAAAACUAUUUGUUUUUAGUUUCCAUUUUAUAAAAAAAAACUAGGUAUUUAGCCCUUUUUUGCAUGGGCAGAGAAGUUUAUUAAAUAAUACUAGGAGAGAAUCCGCGCGUAUGCGCAGAUCUUGUUUUAAUUUAUAUUUUGAAUAAUUUGUAUUGAAUUUUAUGUUUACUAUUAUUGUAUUUUUGUUUAGAAUAUUUAUAAUAAAUUAUUUGUAAUCUCUUCUACACCAGUUGUGUCAAAUAGUCUAAUUUUUUCUUCGAUCUUCAUAUUCUUUUUAUUCUUGUAAAUCUUACUAAUAUAAUAUUUGUUAAUUUUCUUAAUUUUCUAUUUGAAUUUUUUUGGUUAUAUAUAUUUUAUUGAUACCAUCUUUUUAUUAUUAAAAAAAUUAUAUAUGACAUUUUUAUGUGGAUACUUUUUUUUACUAUUAUUUUUUUAAUAACUUUUAUCUUUUUAAUAGUUUAUUAAAUAUGCUUUGUGUUUUAUACUUUUAUUAGUUGAAUUUUUAUAUAAGAUUAUUUGAAACUUUUUAAUUUAGUCAGUCUCAUAAUUUUUUUCACUUGCAUUAAAAUUUAAUUAUAUUUUUAGUUUGUAAAUGAAUUUUAAAACAUUUGAAAAAAGAAAAUAGAACUAUGCAAUUAAAAAGUCUUAUAUUAUAUAAUAGUUAUAAGUUUUUAUAUAUUAAAAUUAAAUUUUAAUUUUAUUCUAAUAUAAAUAUAUGUUAAUAUUUAUUUAUGUUUUUAAUGUGUUUGCUUUAAAUAUGAUUAAUUAAUUAUUUUGUUAAUAUUUGAAGAGGAUAGGUGGUGCUCUCUCCAGUGCUGACGUGUCGCUCAACUGGAGAGAGUUGGCCAAAUUUUAUAUAUAUGACUAGGAGAAUACAUGCACGUAAUAUGCGGGUUUUUUCUUUAAUUAUUUCAAAUUGAUAUAUUUUUGUAUUUUUCUUAAAGAAAUAUAGUCAUCAUUUCUUCUAUGUUACUAUAUAAUUAUAAAUCAAUCAAUUUAAAAUUUAAUAUUAUUAAAAAAUCAAGAGUUUAUACAAAAAAGCUAUCAAUGUUUUAGCAUAAAUUCUUGUUUAAUAUUUAUAUAACUGUUAUUUAAGAAUCAGUUAAUAAAAAAAAACUAUUUUCUUUGAAUGGUUGAGAAUUUAAUACUAAAAUUUAUUAAUCAAUUUUUUUUUGAUAAUUGUAACUUUAAAUUAAAAAUUGACAAAUGUCAUCUCUAUAUUAACUCUAAAAUGCUGAUGUGUCACUCAUAUAUAGAGAGUUAGCCAUCUUUUAUAUAUAAGAUUAUAAGUAAACAAUAUAUUUGGUAGUUUAAUCUUCAUCUCUAAAGUAAUCAUUAUUUGCAUAGAUUAGUUUUAUGCAUUAUUUUAUUCAUUCAACUUUUAGCCUCAAAUUUCUCCUUUUUUGGCUAAAUUGACUAUCCUUACUGAUUUUUAUCUUCUCGUAAGCGUAGACGUGAAACCAUUUUAUCCAGUUGUAUGUAACAAAUCAAUCUUUUUUGCUAGCUUUGAUACCAUAUUUAGUUUCAUCUCUGAAAAUUUCAUUAUAUAUACAUUAAGUUUAAAGAUGAUUUUAGUUCUUCAUUCUCUUGAAAUUUCUCCCUGUUUAACGAAAAUUGUCUCUCUUUGGUUGAUACUUAUCUUUUAUGCAAGCGUGGAUACAAAACUUUAAUAUCAUGUUGAUACCAUGUUAAACUUUUUUAAAAUUAUAGUCAUUAUUUAUAGACAUUAAAUAUAUAGAUUAUUGUAACUAGGUGAAUCUCCGCACGUUACGUGCAAGUUUUUUUUUCUUCAACUAUUUCAAAUUUCAAAUUCCUAAGAAAAAUGCAAUCCUACUUUAUUAUGUGUUAGAAUAUUAUUAUAAAUCGAUCAUUUAAAAUAUAAUAUUAUUAAAAAAUUAAGAUUAUACAAAAAAAAAUCCAUCAAUAUUUUUAAUUAAUUAUAACAUAAAUUCUUGUUUAAUAUUUACAGAAAUAUUAUUUAAGAAUCAAUUAAUAAAAAACUUUUCAUUUUCUUUUAGUGUUUUAAAACUUCAUAUAAAAUUUAUUAAUUAAUUUUCCUUAAAAACUUUUGUAACUUUAAAUUAAGAAAUAUGACACAUAUCAUCCCUAUAUUAACUCUCAAAUGCUGAUGUGGCAUUCGUAUGAAGAGAGUUGGCCUUCUUUUAUAUAUAAAAUUUUUCAUUCUCUCUAGUCGGAAAUUUCUUCCUCUUUUGUCGGAAUUGUCUUUUGUUCUUCUAUGUUUUUAUAUUUCAUGCAAGCGUGUACAUAAAAUUAUUAUAUCAGAGCGUAGGUAAACAAUUCUUUUGUUAGCUUUGAUACCGUGUUAAGUUUCAAAUCUGAAUUAGUCAUUCUUUUAUACAUUAUUUUUUAUGGACGAAUUUAUUUUCAUUCUCCGUAGUUCGAUCUCUCUUCCCACGGAAAGACGAUUAAACUAAUAAUAAGAAAACCGCAGACUUUACAUUGAAACGAGCUGCAGAUAAAAUUUAGAAUAAAAUGGACUUUAAUGAUCCAGUUAGUAUGAACUAUGACACAUCACUUUCAAAACACACAUAGUAUAAAUGAACAAUUUAUUAAAAAGCUAGCUUUAAUACCAUGUUAGAAAAUAAACUAAUCCUUUUUGCUAGCUUUGAUACCAUGUUUAGUUUCAUCUCUGAAUUUUUCAUUAUAAAUAUACAUUAAGUUUAAAGAUAAUUUUGGUUCUUCAUUCUCUAGAACUUUUUCUCUGUUUAACGGAAAUUAUCUCUAUUUGUCAGUACUUAUCUUUUAUGCAAGUACAGCCACAAAAUUUUGAUAUCAAAGCGUAGGUAAUUAAACAAUUUUUUUGGUAAUUUUGAUAUCAUGUUAAUCUUUAUCUUCAAAAUAGUCAUUGUUCAUAUACAUUAAUUUUAUAGAUUAUUUUAAUUCUUCAUUCUCUCUAGCUGGAAAUUUCUUUCUAUUUUGUCAAAAUUGUCCUUUAUUUUUUUGGUUUUCAUCUUUCAUGCAAACAUGGACAGAAAACUAUUAUAUCAGAGCGUAGUUAAACAAUUCCUUUGUUAGUUUUGAUACUGUGUUAAGUUUUGAAUCUGAAUUAAUCAUUAUUUUAUACAUUAUUUUUAUGGAUGAAUUUAUUUUUGUUCUCCGUAGUCUAAUCUCUCUUCCCACAGAAGGACGAUUAAACCAAUAAUAAGAAAACCAUAGAUUUUUUAAUUAAAUAAGACCGCAGAUAAAAAUUAGAAUAAAAUUGACUUUAAUGAUCCAGUUAAAAUGAAGUAUGAUACAUCACUUUUAAAAUACAUGUAGGAUAAAUGAAUGACCUAUUAAAAACAUUAAAAAAGUCAAUAAGUUAGAAAAUAAACUAACCACACAUCAGAUUUUUUGCUUCAGAAAUAUAUCGAUUGAAAAACAAUGUUGCACUUGAUGUACAAAUGGCUUUUGAUUGAAUAACUAUUACAUUCAAUUAAAAAAACAAUAACGCCUAGAGAGACUAGAAGUGCCUUUAACCAAAGUAAUUAACUAACCGUCAACACCAUAGAUGGCGCGAUGCUCUUCGACAGAGGAUCAAGACACAAGCUGCUGUUUUUGAGACUUCAAAGAUAUAGAACAACCACCAAACUGAAUAAUAGAAUCUGUAUAAUAACGUCUUGUUGUUGGGCAUCAUGCCCGGCCGGAACUGCCCCAUGCAAUAAGAGACAGAUGAGUCUUAGCUUUUAAAAGAAAACCAUGUCACAGAUUGCCUUUGACCUUGAGUAAACAUAUAAACCUUGUUGUUGCAUCCCAAUGAGUCUGUUUUGGUUCUUGCAUGAACUAAGCAACAAUGUGGACCAGUGUUAAUCUGCAGGUUCAGGAAUUGUACCUCUUUUAACUAAAGCAAGACGUACGAUGGUUCUUCUCCAGAGGCACAGGUCUCCGAAAUGAUAUUAUGAUGGUCACAAAAUGUGAAAGCAGUUUUAAAAAUGUUUCCUACCUAAAAUCCCAAGCGCAAGGCUGAAAUCGAAGUAGUACUAGGUACAAAUUCACAGGGAGGAAGCAGAGUCGACCCUUGGCCAAUCCAAGAAAGCCUAUACUUCCGGCUGAUUCUUUUAUAAAAAAAUAUUUGGUCCUCAAUUAUUCAAAACUUGUCUUAGUCUGGUCAGACUGAUCGUAAAGUCUUAUGUGGCGCUUUUAGUCCCCAUUCCGUGUUCGAAUCUGCAAAUUGCCUUAGUUGUUGGGUCUAUAUGAAAAACGUUGAGAGUCUUUAGAUUUCUGGUAGUCUAUACUCUUAAGGGAAAAAUAAACUUCCUUGGCAGCCUGUUAUAAUCUUAUUUCUUGGACCCAACAGUACGAACAAUGAAAUCGCACUACACAAAACCAAAGAGAAUAUAAUACAGAGACAACAUAAACAACAAACGAUAUUAUUAUGCAAAGAGCAGACAUUACAACUCGAACACUGAGACAUUACAUUAUGAAACUUUAUUCCCAUAGAUUCUUUUUCUUGAGUUACUUCAUUACAAACUCACCAUGGUUCACUUAUAGUCAUACACACGUAUAACUGUAUUAUAUAGAUGUAGCCAUGCAUGGUGGUUAAUAUAAUAUGAAGUUUUUAGUUACCAGGCUGAGUCUCAACUGCUUCUACUCCGUGCCCUCCUCUUCCUCCGUGUCCACCGCGUCCUCCUCUUCCUCCUUUGUAUCCUCCCCCUCCUCCUCCGUAGUGUCCCCCUCCUCCUCCGUAGUGUCCUCCUCCUCCUCCUCCUCCGUAGUGUCCUCCUCCUCCGUAGUGUCCUCCUCUUCCUCCUCCGUAGUGUCCGCCGCGGCCACCACCAUAUCCAUCAGGUUUCACAGUUUCCUCACUCUCUGACUUCACCCCUGUCCAAAAAAAUAUAGAAAAAUCACAUUAUUUCAAAGAUAUUGUUUAGCACGUGCAAAUGUUCUUUCCUCUCCCCGAUUUCAAAAACGAAAUUUCUCUUAUAAACAUUUUAAAAUAUGUAUCGAAUCUCUUGUUUAGAAUAAAGAAUUAUGAGUUUCAAAAUUAAAUAUACGUUCUAUAUAAAAUUUUCACCAAUAUACGUAAGUGUCUUUUAUUACUAGGACAUCAACAUCGUACUUAAGUGUGUUUUUUGACUUAUAAGUCCAUAUAGUUGACCUUCGUUCAAAUCAACCUUCCGGACUUAACACGGACGAAAUAGACAAAUAGAGACAAUAUUAUCAAAUAUGGUACGUUUGUUUGGGUUCGAUUAGCUUCACGAACAUUUAUUUUGUUUCUAUAAAAUAAUUUUAUUUACCCGAUGAUUGCCUUUCUGCGGCAACUUCUGAGACGACGAGAAGUAAUGCAAAGAGACCCAAAAGAAUCAAAGCUUUGGAAGCCAUUUUCUUCUACUGCUUUUAAGUUUAUAACACUCUUUUGUUUUGUUGGAGAAAGAAGUGAUGAAUAAAAUGUUCGCCUGCAUGCUCUCUAUUUAAAGAAAGGGUAACGAAGAGGAGAAAAGUCAAAUAACUAAUCCGUGGACCGUAGUGCAUUAAAAAUAACGAGGAAUUUUAUUUAUUAAAGAGAUAAGUAAGGGUAUUUGCAUUAUUUGCAGAUAAUGACAAAAAGAGCAAUUCAGUAAAAUAGGAUUGAGACUGUGCUUCGCGCGGAUUGUAAUUUAUGUUCAUGUUUUUAUAUAUUUUAUAUAUUAUUUCUUAAGAAAUAAUUUGUUGAUAAUUUUUUCUUAGUUUAAUAGUUUUAUUUUUAAGUUUACAUUGUAUUAACAAUAUCUGUGUUCUGUUAGUUAUUCUUACUGGUAGAUUAAAAACUCUAUAAAUUAAUAAUAUUAGGACUUUGAUAUUUUAUUAAUUUUUAGAGUUAUUAAUUUAGAGGUUUCAAAUAAAAAACUAUUUCUUAUUAAUUUUAAAAUUAAAAAAAAAUCGUUGAAAUUUAUAAUAUUUUUAAAAAAUUAAAAAAAAUAAAAAUGAGUUCCAAGAAGACUUCAAUUUAAAUUAAACAAAAACAUAGUAGAUUAUCUCACUUAUAUGUUUAUAUCAAAUUUUAUUUAUGGUAAUUAUUAAUUUAUGAUAAUAAUGGGACCAUAGAUUUACAUAAGAGUUUUGUUAAGUUUAUUAUCUUAUUAUCUUAUCGAAUUGUGUCAUAAUUUGAACUGGCUCAACGUAACUCAGAACUAUGAAAAAUUAUUAAUUUAUGUAUUUAUUAAUUUAUCGAGUAUUAAUUUAUAGAGUUUUUAUUGUAUGUCUAUAUAAAAAUAGUUUUUUUAAUUAUAUUAUUAACUUCUGUAAUUUUUUAUUUUGUGUGUUUUUAUAUUUUAUCUGUACUAUUGUGUGACUCUAAUUAUAAUUAUUUAAAUUAUUUUUUUAUUUUUCUUAAUUUAUACUCUCUAAAUUAUUAUUUUUUAAUUCAUACUCCGUACAAAUUUUUAUUUUUAGUCAUCUAUUAUUUUGAAUUGUUGAAUAACUAAUUUAUCAUAUUUUUCUUUUUUUGAAAAAAAAAUUUAUACUCCUUUUCCAUCUUCAUAUUUUUAUAAUUUAUUAGUUUUAUCUUUUUUUUUUUUUUUAUCUUUAACGUUUCUGUUUUUGUAUUUUAUAAAAUUCAUCUUCAUUAGUUUCAUGUUCUUCAUUUUUUUAUUUAUUUUUUUCAUUUUCCAAUGGUUUUUGACUUCUACUUUUCUUCCUCCUGUUUUUUUUUAUUCUUUUUUCAUUGUCUUUUUUUUUAAUUAUCAUCAUUUUUCUAAUUUUUUUCAGUUUAUAUAAUAUAUUAUUUUUAAUAAUAUAUAUAUAUUUAAUCCAGUUAGUAUUACAGUUUUCUUUAAAUAUUAAUAUCUAAUUGCCACUUAUCUUUUUAUUAUACUAAUAUUUAUUUUAUUUAAUUUAAUUUGUACUAAAUAUACUAAUAACAAAUAUAAAUAUAUAUAUAUAUAUGUAUUAAAUGUUUAUUUUAAAUAUGCUUUAAUGUUAAAAUUUAUGAGUUUGUUGAUGUGGACACCCUAGAUGGAGAUAAAAUUCUCUUAUUAUAUUACAGAUUAUAAAAUAUUUGUUCUUUCUCAAGGGAACAAAAAUACUUUUUUAUUUUUUUGUUGAAUGUUUCAUUUGAUUGUUAAGGGAAAAAACAGUUUUUUUGUCCCAUAUCGUGUUACAUUUUUAUAUGGACAGGUAAUUUUUUUUUUUUAGGGCUAAACAAAUUUUAUAUAUUAAGAAUAAGGAUUACAAUCUGCAAAUACAGCAUUAGACAACCAUAAAGGUGGAUACAAUUUUGAUGAAUAAAAAACAGCAUUACACAACCAUAAAAGUGGAUACAAUUUUUAUAUGGACAGGUAAUUUAUUGAUUGGAUUUUUUUAUACAGUUUAUUAAAAUAAUUCGAAUGUUUCUCCUCCACGUAUCAUGCUACUUUCUAUUGAAUGAAACCUUUGUCUCAACUUUAAUUUUAUAUUUGAAGUAUAUAAAUAAUUUAGUGCGUUAAAUAUCGGUUUAUUUAUAUAUUUUUUUCUUGAUGGUUUAUUUGUGUUUGAGAAUUUUUUUUUUUUAACAUUUUCUUAGAUUAAUUAAAGAAAUCCAGCCGGUUAAAGCAGUACAGUGAAGCUGUAAAGAGCUCGUUCUGCUAUCUCAUCAGUUAAAAGAUUGUCUGAUUGAGGAAUGUGUUCGAAAAAGAUGCAAUUGAAACAGAGUGACAGAGAGACUAUAUCGAAAGUAAUCCCCGCGAUCUCUUUGAUUUUUGUCCCUCGAUUGAUUGCUCUGAUCAGAUCCGAAGAGUCCGAUUGGACAUGAAGCUUUGUGAUCCCGAGAUUUGUGGCGUGAGUCAUGGCAGAUCUCAGGGCUAGAGCUUCAGCGAUGAUCGGGGAGGUCACAAAUUCUUCGAUAUCCAUACCCUGGUUCCAUGGUGGCGAAUUUCCUCAACGGAAAACCCAACCCAAUCUGCCGAUCUGAUUCUCUUCCUUCCAGGCCACAUCGGUUUGCACAAUGGUAUGGUCUGUUGGGAUUUCCUUCGGAUCUCAUGUUUGAAGAGUUGAAAUCUCCCUUUCCUGUAGGUCAUGUGCCUGAAUCCAAUCUCUUGCAUUGCAGAUGGCUUUGUUCACCGUUUCUAAUGGUGUGAAUGUUCUGUUCUCGAACAGUCGGUGGUUCCUGGAUAACCAGAUGGCCCAGCAGAUCCAGGGGAAGAGUAGUCCGGCUUCUAUUCCUGUUGGAGGUAGAGUGACCCAUCCCUUCGAUGCUUUGAGCCCUGUUGCAAAAUCCGGAAUGAAAAAGGGAUCUAUGGUGUAUUUGAAGGGCGCCAGUGACCAAACCGCCUUGGCGAAGUGACAGUAGAGGAAAAGGUGGUCAGCUGUUUCUCUUUCUCUGCAUAGACUGCAGGAAGCGUUGUUGGAGAGUCCCCCGGUAAGUAGAUUUGCUCCAGUUGGUAGUGCUUUCUUGAGUAUCUUCCAUAGAAAGACCUUUAGUUUUAGGGAAGUUUUCUUAUGCCAGAUAUCUGAGUUCCAGUUAAUUGUGGUUGUCUGUGCAUGAGAGAGUGGUUACUUCAUUCGCUGAUGUGUCGCUGUGUGGUAUCCUGACUUGGUCGAAUAAUUUCCAUCUCUGUUUGGGGUCCAAAUGUAAGAGUCUUCUCCGCCUCUUUUGCUUGGUUUUAUGCUUAAGAUCACAGAUGAGAGGUGUGGGACAAUAACUUCAAUCUUUCUUGUGUCCCAGGUGGUUGAGUUCUCUUUUAUUAGGUCUGAGACCAGCAGAUCUUUAUUGGCGUUGGUGGGAAGGCCAACUACUCCUAGCAGUGAUGUCGUCGAUAGCCAGGGAUCGGACCAUAGGUUGGUUUUUCGUCCAUUUCCAAUUAUUUUGCUUAUAUUUGAUUGCAGGAUAUCUUUGCCAAUCAUGAUUCCCCUCCACCCGUGGGAAGAGGAAGAUGUUGAUUCAGCUCUGAGGAAGGUUGUGGACCGGUGGUAUCUUCUUUUGAGAACUCGGGCCAGUAGACACUAUGGGUUUAUCAAGAUUCUCCAACUCAGUUUGGCCAGUAAGGUGUCGUUGAAGCACUCAAUGUCACAGAAACCAAGACCACCCUCUUUCUUUGUUCUUGUUAGCUUUGACCAUGCUAGCCAACACAUUUUUCUUUUUUCAGGGUUGGCGUCCCACCAAAAGCGAGUAAGAGCGGAUUGGAUGCGUUUGCAGAGACUUGCAGGGAGCUUGAAGCACGACAUCGUGUACGCUGGGAUGGCUGAGAGAACUGUCUUCAGCAUCGUGAUUUUACCCGCCGAUGAUAGAAAUUUUGUUGACCAACUCGUUGACGUAUCCUGUCCACAAUCUGAGUAAAGAGGUCUUUUUUCCUUCUCCCAAAAUGUUCGGGUAAGCCAAGGUACUUCCCUUUACCUCCCUCUUGACUGAUUCCCAGAUCCUGUUUAACUCUUUCUCGUACAUCAUCAGGAGUUUUGCAUGAGAAUGUAAAGGAUGAUUUUUGUAGAUUGAUCUUCUGUCCCGAGGCUUCUUCAUAUUUCCUGAGAAUUGCCAUGAGUUCUGCGCAGGCUUGGGGGGAUGUUUUACAAAAGAACAUUGUGUCAUCCGCAAAUAGUAAAUGGUUUAUUCUUGGGCUUUCUUUUGCAACUCUAAUGCCUGACAAGCGGCCAUUCUGUUGAGCUUUUUUGCAGAGACCAGAGAGCACUUCACCACAUAUGAUAAAUAUAUAGGGUGAUAGUGGAUCACCUUGUCUGAUGCCGCGUUGAGGGAGGAUUGGAACGUACGCUGGGUCAUUCACCAGAUACGAAUAGGAGACUGAGGUGAUGCACAUCAUUAUCCAAGUAAUCCACUUCUCAUUGAACCCAAGCCUUUUCAGCACCGUUUCAAUGAAGCCCCAUUCCAGGCGAUCAUAUGCCUUACUCAUGUCAGUUUCAACUGCCAUGAAGCAGUGUUUUUUCUCUUUAGAUCGUUUGAGGAAAUGUAGAGUCUCAUGUGUUAUCAUGACAUUGUCUGAUAUGACCCUUCCAGGGACAAAAGCUGAUUGGGAUUCUGAAAUGUUUUUUUUCCAGGAUAGGUUGGAGCUGCUUGGUGAGAAUCUUCGAGAAGAUUUUGUAAAAGACACUACAGAGUGCGAUUGGCCGGUAGUCGGAGACUGUACGUGGAGCAUUGUGUUUUGGUAUCAGCCGAACCAAAGUAUGGUUGAUGGAGCUGGGGAAAGAUCCGGAACUAAAGAAACUUUUGAUCUCUGAAGUUAUUGCAGGGCCUACUGUUGUCCAGUUUGAUCUGAAGAAAGAUGCAGAAAAGCCAUCAACUCCUGGAGCUUUAUCCAGAUAGAUGGAGAAGAGAACAUCGUUUGAGAAUAUCAAAUAAAUAUAUUUUAAAAGUUUUUAAAAAAUUAACUGCUACAGUUUCUACUUAUAUUUUUAUUAAUGCAUUUUAAAAACUUAAACCAGUUCAAAAAUUGAAACCAAAUAGUAUUAAAUUUGUAUACUAUAUAAAAAAAAAAAAUACACACUACUACCGAUAAAGUAAGCUACUAGUUAAGCUCAUUGCUUAGUCUUGUUGUACUUCUAGUUUGAUUUACAAUGGAAAUAGAAAAGAUGUUUUACGCCAUAUCAUAUAGUAUUAGCAAAGACUAGUCCCAAGAGAAGAGAAGUUGUAAGAAGGAUUAAGAUCAUGAAAAAAUACACACUCUAUAUUAAUCAUAUAUUUACCAUAAUAUUUUUUCAGUUUUCAUCAAUUCUAACAGUUUAUUUACAAAAACUAUGUAUCCGUGUAAUCUCCUUGGUUUAGUGAUUGACCAUAGAUUUAAUUUGAUUCCAAAACGAUGCUAGUUAAUGGAAUGCAAUUUUAUAGAAGGUUUAGCAUGGUGCAAAUAGAGCUGUUCGUCAUAAUUCAUCAGUCAAAGUAAAACUGCCCAUCACAAACAUGGUACAUGUAGAACCAUUUAUCGUGGAUUCUUGUAAAUAGAUAAAGAAAAUCAUUGUAUAGAAGCAUUUGUAUAAUUGUUUUCAUAAUUUAUAAUCCUUUAUACAGUAUUAAUCAAUUAGGGUUGAUAAAAAACAGUAGUUUCACAUUUAAUUUACAAAUAAGUCAUCUGAUGUGUCAUCGCCAUAAAACUUCUCCAAAAAAAAGUUAACUUACUAGAAUAAUUACAUUCAUGUCAUUUAGAUUACAUUCAUGUCAUUCACAUUUAAUUUACAAAUAAGUCAUCUGAUGUGUCAUCACCAUAAAAGUUCUUCAAAAAAAAGUUAACUUAUUAGAAUAAUUACAUUCAUGUCAUUUAGAUUUAAUACAUGCAUAUAUAUAUAUAUAUAUAUAUUAUAAUGAGAUUUAUGUAGAAUAUUAAAUUAAUAUUAUUUUUAAGUUUAUUCAUUUCUAUAAAAAAAAAUUAAUUUUUAUUUUUUGUCUCCAAAUUAUAUUACUUUGAUUCAAAGGGUUAUGAUUUUAUUUUCAAAAUUUCUUUUUUAUUGUGACAAUACAAGUUCAAUAUUUAUUUGCUCAAUAUAAUUUUUUAUUACAAAAUCUCUUAUUUUUCAUAUUUAAAUUCAAAUUUAUAUAAUGGAAGAUCUAACCUUCAUAUUAUUUUUAUGAUUAUUCAAAUGUAAAGCAUGUAAUAUAAUUCGCACACGUUUACUAAUGAUUAUUGAGAUAUAAAAAUAUAAUAGUGUUUAAUGCUAAAGGUCUCAUCAAACUAUAUUCUGAUUUGAUUAUAUCGUUUGAUGCUAAUAUAGUUUUAUGCUAUUGGUCUUAUCCAGGGGUGGAUUCAGAAAAAAAUUUAGUAGAUAGCAUAAUUUUAUAAAUAGGGAAAAACAAUUUUUUAUAUGAAAACAUAGUAUUAACAUAUAAUUUUAAUGAAAUUAAGUUAACAAUUGGAUUGUUUCAGCUUUUACAACUACUUUUAUAUUCAAAUAAGCUUUAAAGAUUGAAUUUUUUUUUCUUUUACUUUUUUUAUUAACAUGAGCAACAUAAUUUUAAACUAUAGGGAUUUUUUCCUUUUUAUCACUAAAUUAAGAACAUUUAAAUUUAAUUUACCAAAACUAUUUAGGAAAAAUAAAAACGGUAAGGGAAACAUGACCCGAUAUGGUCUUUACUAUGUCCGCCUCUGAUCUUAUCAAUCACACACGUACAAAGAGAUAUUCACGUGACGAGUUGCAUAUUUUAAUUUAAAAUUGAAUAAAUUUUUUUACAGAAUACUAUUUAUUUUACAUAUUCGAAUUCAAAUCAGAAUAUUUUUUAUUCAAAUAUAAUUGUAUUAAAUUUUAUAUUUAAAUUCAAAUCAAAUCAAAUAAAGCUUUUAUUUCUAAUCAUAAGAAAGUGUAUAGUUAAAUCAAAUUUUAAUAAAUUUGCAACUAACAUAUAUCUGCAGGGAUUAUUCAAUUAGAACAAGGUUUAUAUAGAAUAAAUAGAUUUUUCAUGGUAAGAGUAAUUUUCACUAUUGGUACUCCUUAUGGAAAGAUAAAUUGUUGCUAUUAAAUAAUUAGAUAUUAAAUACAAAAUUACGUUUUCUGAUUGAAGAGACAUUUGAUUUCGAAUUCACAUUCAAAUCUUCUUAAUAUGUGGGAAACCCUUGAUUUCCAGCACUAUUUAAUCGAUAUCGAUUAGCACCCUUUCUUAUGAUUAAACAAAUACAUACUAAUAUAAUUUUUAAAUAUUUCAUUUGCAAGACCGAGAUUACUACCUACAAGAUAACUACUUAGGCUAUUAAAAAGCUGACAAAAAGGCUAUUAAUAAAAAUAAAACUAUCAUUCUUAGGGAUUUACCAUAUGCUUCAUACAGUGUUUCCUUAAGAGUUACACUUCUAUUUGUCCAUUUACCGGUGAUAUUUUCCUAUUUUUAUUAACUCUAGCAAUUGUCAAUUACUUAAAAUAGGUUAUUACCAGCGCAGAAUAAAUAUUAAUCAUAAUUUUUUAUUUAAAUAUGUAAAUAUAAUGUAUAUAAGUACAACUAUAAAAAUGUUAGCUGAUAUUUUUAAUUACAACUAUAUAUGCUGAUUAUGCAAUCAUAAAUAAUAAUUAAAAUUACAUUUAUUUUGUAAUACAAAUACAUAAAUGCUAAAUAAUUAUUAGUUUUAUAAUUAAUUUUAAUAAUAUUUUUUAUAUGACUGAACUUACACAUUAAAUAUACUAAAUUAGAUUAAUAUGUUCUAUCUAACAGGUCUAACAUCAAACUAAAAUACUUUGCUUUUGAUAUAAAAAAUUGAAUUAUAAUAUGUAUGAAAAUAUUUAGAUUAUUUUAUUAUUAAAUAGAUAAUGUAAUUAUUGUUUUUUAAAGAAAAGUAAGAUCAAAUAAAAGACAAAAUACAAAAUAUAAUGUUUAGAAACAUAAUUAAUGUUAUGUAUUAAAAUUUUAUAAAUGUGAUAAGAAAUAGAAAUAGAAAGAAUAUCUUUACAAAUUAAAUGUUUGAGUAUUAAAUAUAUAAUUGACAUAAAUUAAUUUCUAACCAAAUUAAUGUUAGUGGCAUAUGAUAUACUUAAUCUAGUAAGUUUCUUUUUUUUUGAACAUUUAUUAAUCUAGUAAGUUGACCAUACUUUUUAAAAAUCUAUAAAAAACUCUCUGAAAUUAACACCUCAAUAUGACACUUAUGUAAAUAAUACAUAAGAUAAAUGUUUUUUUUAAAGCAUUUUUAUCAAUUAAUAAUAUAUAACUUUUCAUUUCAUCCCGUGAUUUACCCAGUCCGUCCUAAAAUUAAAGUGGUAAGAUGAUGAUAAGUAUAUGUCUACGUUGCAUCGGUCCCCUUAUGGUGGGUUGUUGGAUCCAUCAGUGAAUAAUUUGAAAGUCUAUAAAUGGCGAACCCCACCAGUGUUUUAGACUGUUUCUUAUUAAUGUCUUUUUUUUUUUGGCAGUCUUAUUAAUGUCUUAAACACAGCACAAUCACACACGUAUAGAACUAUAGAUAUCUAGAAAUUCCAUUAUUGGAUUAUAAUUGAUUUUAUUAUGACGGAUUCUUUUGGACACAAAAGCUAGCCGACGUCUUCUUUGAAAAUUCUCACAACCGACAGAUUUUAAACAGCCGUAUAGAGACAAAGGCAGUGAGAGUAAAGCAUAGAGUGACAACACGUAGUAACUACAAAGAAUUGACUUUUUAAAGGGUGCAAAAUUUUGCCUGGCUAUAUUUAAUCGUUAUACUUCUUUUUAUGGAUAAUUGCUUGGCUAUAGUUAAUUUAUGCCGACUGCUACCAAAAUAUCGAUCAAAGUCACCUAAGCGUAGAGAAAGCUUGAGAUUUACGUAAUUAUAAUUCAUUUUUUUCAAAUCUAAAUAUUCAAAAAAUUGAUUAUAAUAUGUAUGAAAAUAUUUAGUUUUUUUUCAAAUCUAAAUAUUUAGUUUUUUUUCAAAUCUAAAUAUUAAAUAUACUAAAUUAGAUUAAUACGUUAUAUCUAACUAAUCUAACAUCAGAUAAUUUGUUUUUAAUAUAAAAAAUUUGAAUUAUAAUAUGUAUAAAAAUUGUAGUUUUCAAAUGAGCGUAGAUAUAUAGUUUUCAAAUUAAGCAUGUUUAUUUCAUAUAUCAGAUUGGAUAGUAUUUGAUUGAGAUACAGGUUGUCAUGUAGUUUUCAAAUUAAGUAUGUUCAUUCCAUGUAUUGGAUUGGGUAGUAUCGGAUUGGGAUACGGGUUGUCAAGCCCAGACCCGAACCUCAAAACUUUUGGGUUAAGAACGAGAAUAAAAAUUAUGGGUUAUAAAUUUGGGAUACGGAUUGUCAAGCCCAGAUCCGAACCUCAAAACUUUUGGGUUAGGAACGAAAACAAAAAUUAUGGGUUAUAAAUUAGUUAUUCUAAAAAAGAAAAAAAUGUUAAUAAAAAGGUUAGAAUGAUCGAACUUCUCACCUUGAAUAUGUUAUUUUCAAACAAUAACUAGUUCCACUACUGAAGAUUAUAGUAAAAACCGGUCAGAAAAUACAUACUUUAUAUAUGGUUGGCAACACAUGCUUCCUUACCUUCUAUCCAAAAUCCAAUUUUAUACCAGUAUUUGGGGAAGAUCCAAUUAAGCAUGUUCAUUCCAUGUAUCAGACUGGGUAGUGAGAAGAUCAAGAGAUUGUUGAACAGUUCUUAUGUUGUAUAAUUGUAAAAGAACCGAUUACAAUAUAUAUAUAGAAGCUUUAGCUUAAUCCUCAAGUUAAAGAUAAACACAAAUAAGGAAUAUUUAAGAUUUUCUAAAUAUUUUCUCAUACUCUCCCUCAAGAUGGCGAGUGGAGAUCCCGAACUUCCAUCUUGCCAAAAAUAUAAGAAAAUUGAAUUCGUCCAAGUGCUUUAGUAAACAAGCCUGCAAGCUGUUCAUGUGUGCGAAUAUAAGCCGGUGCGAACUCCUGCUUGGAAGGCAUCACAAAUAGUGUGACAGUUGUUCUCUAUGGAUUCUGCAGAAUGUCUAGUGCUGCCUUGUUAUCACAGUAAAAAGAAACUGGUUCUGGAUGCUUGAUAUCGAACACAGAAAGAAGCUGGAGAAACCAUUGUAUCUCAGAGAAUGUGUAAGACAUUGCGCGAUAUUCCGCUUCUGGAGAAGAACGAGAGACAACUCUGUUUUUUUUUUUUUUUGUCUUCCAAGAGACAAGGGAAUCACCAAAUAAGAUGGCAUAACCAGUGAGGGACUGCCAAGUUAUCAGACAAGAAGACCAGUCCAAAUCACAAUAAGCAAACAUGUGAAGAUCGGGUUUGGAGUUAAGGAAUAUACCUUGCCCAUGCGUACCCUUAAGAUAUCGUACUACUCGAGUCUCUGAAUCUCAAUGCUUCUUCCGUGGUUUAGUGAGGAACUGAGCGAGUAAAUGGACCGCAUAGCUGAGAUCAGGCCGAGUUACAGAUAAGUAUACUAAGCGUCCAACAAGCCAACGGUAUCUGGAUGGAUUGUCAAAAUAUUUUCCAUCGUCUCCAGCUAGUGUAUGGUUUAGCGUAACCCUCAAGUUAUCCAAUACAUAUUCUGAUAAGCCGCAUUCAGAAACGAUAUCCAAUGAAAUAUUUCUUUUGGAAAUAUGGAUCCCUUUCUUUUCACAAAAUAUUUCCAAACCGAGGAAGUAUUUUAACACGCCAAGAUCCUUUAUAUGAAAACUCUUACUCAUGUAAGCCUUGCAUUUGGAGAUAAGAGUUGUGUCGUUGCCCCCUCUAACCAAGUCAUAUACAUAAACAAGAACAUAGAUGCAAGAAGAGCCACGAUGAUAUGAGAAGAGAGAGUAAUCCUUCUUGUUUUGUACAAAACUAAACCGCAACAACGACGCUAAAAGCUUAGCAAACCAACAACAUGGAGCUUAUUUGAGACCGCAGAGAGACUUUUGUAGUCUACACACUUUGUUUUAAUCGGAUGAAGAGAAACCCGGCGGAAGCUGAUGUGGUGUAUGCGGGGGUAUCAAAUUUUACCCUAAAAGAAAUAAAAGAAAGCCGCAAGUGCACAGCUAAUCAGUUGUAAUACUUAGAGAUCGAAUCCAUAGAGAUUUGCCAAAUAUUUUUCUACGGUCUCGUAGCUUGUUGGCCGUCUUCAAAUGUCUUCGGGGAAAAUGGAAUAUCUUGAGAUCCAACCGUUGGAAUGUCUCCAAAGUAAGUGCAUUUGAAAGCUGGUUGAGUCUUCUAUUAAGUAUCCAAUUUUGGGGAUGAUCAGACGGUGAAAAGCUCUUCAUCUCUCCUUGAGAGUUCUGACGGUCUGAAUUUAUCCAAAAUAGUCUUUUUGUUCCAAUUUUCACCUCUUUCUUCCAAAUUACCUGAAAAGUCUUUAAAAAUCCGAAAACAUAAAAAUCAUUUGAAAACCUUUGAAAAUGGAGUAAAAACACCUGCAAAAUAUAUUACACUGAUCCAUAAAAAUGGUCAAGGUGUUAUAAACUCCCCCAGGCUUAGACUUUUAUUUGUCCUCAAACAAAACAAAGAUCAAAUCUCGGUGAGAGGUUUGAAAACGCAGGAACUAACAAAAUCUCAGAGACCAUACUUCUAGACUAAAAUCAAUCAUUAUGCAUUAACCGGGGAUAACCUAGAAAAUUCUCACUAAAAUACAUGCAUAACUAAUCCGUUGAUCUGUCAUGCGAAAGUAUAUACACUUAGAUCUAACUUCCACUCAACUAGCUCUUAACAUUUAUUAAAAAUCUAUGUGGUUCUCAUCAAAAUAAGUAUAAGCAAGGCGAUUUGGGCUAGGUGUCAAAAAGGCUCUUUUCGGGGUGAGGUUUUAAAGUGUUUUGGGUUACCUUGAUUUUUAGAGAAGUAGGGUAUUAUGCAAAACAGCAAGAGAUAAUGGAGCUGUUGAUAUCUACAGUUUCCAGUCACAUUCUUCUUGCUUUAGAAUCUUUUAUAUUUCUCAGGUUCUCCUUUUAGUUCCCCCAGACUUAGAUUCUUGUCUGGGUUGUAACCGUAACUCCAACAGAUGCAUACUAAUCGCCUUUUGCCUCAAAUAAUUUUGGCCAUCUAAGACUCUUUAGGCUUUUGUUUCUUUUCUUUUCAUUCUUUUUCUUCUCUCUUUUUUCUCUUUUUUUUAGAAGAGGGAAAACACCUUUAGAUAUAGAGUCUUAGAGGACACAAAAAUUUAGCAUUAAGAGCAACCUUUUCGAAGUGUCUUAACAUUGCCGAUGUACCUCCCUUCCAACUCCCAUUUAGUUCUUCUCUUUGGAUGACUGAAAACUGUGCCGUUCCUCCCUCUCCAGCGUUUUUGCUCAUAUCUGCUGAUAUAAGCUAAAGAGAGGAUAUGUGAGGUAUGAAAAAAAAAGGAUUGGGUAAAGGUAUGGUACCAGCUAAAGAUGAACUAGCCAUCUAAGACAACAAAGAGUGGUAAAAAUGAGGGAAAAGGUGUUCUAGAUGUAUAUCUUGAUGCUUGCCUAAAAUCAAUGAUGAGAAACUUAGAUAUCAAUAUUAAGGUGAUGUGGCCAUCAACCCAGCUCAACAUCACAAAGAGACCCCAAUGAUCUUAGACAAACCAGACGGCCCAUCCGAAGCCGAGAGAUGCCUUAUAGAAGCUGAACCGGAGAAAAUGAGCAUAAAGGCGAGCCCAACAGAAACAGAAGUGAAAACUUGGAGUUUCACCAACCAAAUGUCAUCAAUGGAGUCUGUGAUCGAGCCAAAACACUUUUCAGUUGAUCCAGAAAUGAAGUUACCCAAGAAUCAACUCAAACUCUUGGCCAAAGCAUGUUCAAGCAACACAAGAAGACCCAUGCACCUUAUUCAGCACUGAUGAAGUCAGAGAUCAGCUGGUACAGCUCGGCCAACACUUUUAUUACAUUUCUAUCUCAUCCAGUGAACGCCUAGAAGUGGAAUCAGCCCAAUUAGAUCUCAGAGAAAUGAGUUAUUCAGCUUACAAAUCAGGUGAUGCACAACUUCUACGAUUUGAACAUACGUGCCUUAUUUGGAGGUUUCCGACCGAACCAGAAGGAUAUAAGCUGUGAACCGACUUGUUCCCAAUUCUUGAUUCAUCAUAGAAUCGGAGACAGUUGGAAUCAAACCAAUACCGGUUAUGGUUAGAAAUUUAUUCACUUUACAAGUUGGAAGAUCUGUUUCAGACCCAAUUGCGCAGUUAGGCUGAAGAUCUUACUCUACAGCCCAACUCAUCCACGUUCUCAGCCCAAAAUUACUUGGAGAAUAUUUUUUGGUCUUUCUUGGAUCCAACAAGCUCAAGAUCCGAAGAAUUUCUCAUUGGAACUUCAAGUUACACCCAAUAUCCCAAAACGGGUUGACUUGGUUCCAUUUAUGGCAGGUCUGAGCUCUGACUGGUAUAGAUCGCUAUCUACAAGAGUUUGGCGCCCAGGAGAGACUCUAAGGCAACUAAGGAAGCUUAGAAACACCUUACCAUGCACCAGCACCCACAGGAUCAGGCGGAUCGUUUUGCAAGCUUACUUUCCUUAUGUGGCCGCAUUCACACUCGGUGCUAUUAAUCACCAAUAGCUCUUUUCCUUUGAAUGCUACGACUUGGACCCUAAAAACGUCUAGAUACAAAGGCAUCAUCACAUUUUCAUAUUUGGUCGAGAUCCUCUUAUUUAGAGCCUAUCGGCUAGUUUUUGAUUAGCUUUGAUUUGUUUCUUUGUUUUUAGCAUUUUAGAACGUGUAAGAGCAUUAUAUAAGCUCAUAUUAGUCCAUUUGUAAAAACUCAUCUUUCAAUCAAAUUAAUACAGAAGUUUCUUAUUUUCUUUCAAAGUGUGUUCUUUGGAAAAUUGUCUUUUCUUUUGAAUAAAUGUGUGAGAUUCACUUCUAUUCUCUAGAAGCCACGAAUUUAGUUGUUUGUGUUACUCAAAUAACUUGUUCGUUCAUCGAUUGAGAGAGUCAAUCAAACCACCACCUUCCAUCUCAAUAUCACGUACGCCCACUUUCGCAAACAAACUUGUAAACUCUUGAUUAUCUUGUGAACAUAAGAUUUGGUGGAUUCCAAUCUUAUAUCAUUUGGUAUCAGAGCACAAGUUCCUAUCAAAGUGCUUAUGUUCUUUAUCUUUCCCUUUUGUUAUUUUAAUUCAGUCUUUUUUCAUUUUAAAUCAUAAAAAGAAAAAAAAAUUAUUGUUUUGAAAUAUUCUAUGUUUUCUUUAAUUCUAAAAAAUCAGAAAAUAGAAAUAAGAAUUUUCCCUUUUGUUAAUUGCAUUUUCGAAUUUUGUAUCCAAAAAUAUAUAAAUAUAUUUAUCGGUUUUUCUUUUAUUUUUGGUUUUGCUUUAAUUCCAUUUAAAAAUCAGAAAACCAAAUAAAAAUAUCUUCUAUUGUUUUCUUAAAUUUUAUAACUCAGAAAAACAGAAUUUUCUUUUAUUAUUUAAGAUUGUCGAAUUUGUUUAGUUUUUUAAAAAAUCCCUUAUUUUUGAAAUAUUUUGUUGUUUGCUUUAAUUUCAUUAACCAGAAAAAAAAAGAAUUUUUAUUAUUAUUAGAAUUUUGAAUUUGUUAAACAAAAAAAAAAAGAAGAAGAAGAAACCAUUGUUUUAUUUACAUUCUCUUUCUUUCCUUUCUUGCUUAAGCCAAACUUUGAUACGCUUCUUCUUUAUCUCUGCGAGGUACAACCCUAAGGAGCAGCCACCAUGACUGAAUCAGAAGAAGAUCAGUACCAAUUUGAUGGAGACCAAUGGUGUCAAGGAGAAGAGAGUUUAGCUUUUUCCGAUGAGGAGGCUGACUAUGAGUCUCCACCGUGACUAGGAGAUGGCUACACCAGCUCUGGAAUUGGAGAUGAAUCAGACUGUGAAGAGUACGAUCCAGAGCCACCAUAUUACAGCAGAGUCAACACUAAUCAAUCAGCUUAGUCUAGAGAUAAAGAGACAGGCCGAGAAAAAGGUGUAGAAGGUGACCAUGAAGGAGAUCCUUGGCAGGACGAAACUGAGUCUUAAUAUCACGAAGGAAACUACAACACUGAACCAGAAGACAGAGAUGACUCAGAGCAUUGAGAUUUUGACCAUGGAGAACAAGGCCGAUCUUUAGAACCUUACCAAAGGCCAAGGUGCGAAGUAACUGAUUCUGAAAUCAGUUCAAUAGAUGCUGACAAUACUGAUGGUGAGUCUUGGAGCCACGAGACAGAGCUAAAAAAAAGCAUGGUUGAUGGACCAGAGCUUGACGAGGAGGAACAAGAGCCAAAUGGAGACAACAUCAACUACACUGAACAAGACUAGCCAGAUGGUGCAACAACAGAUGAUGAGGUAGAUGAUGAGCCACACCACAUCUAUUUUUCAGGUCAUGAACAAGGACCAGAAGCUUACCUAUAGUGGGAGAGCGAAAUAGAGUACAUGAUGAAGUCACAAAACAUUCCUAAGGAUCAGAGACUUUCAUAUGCACUUGACUCGUUUGUUGGAGAAGCUACUACAUGGUGGGAACAAGAGGAAGUUGUGGCCAACUAUAAUAAUUCUGCCAUCACUUGGGGUAAUCUCAUGCAGCGUAUGUACAAAGAGUUUGUACAGAAGUCCCAAAACCGCAGCUACAUUCCCAAGAGGCUAAUGUUCAAAACAGCUACAAAGAGGUGGAUGUCUACGCCAAAAUCGCAGCCUGUUUCUAAGUCAAAGAAAGCUUGCUAUUCUGAGCUAAAGAAAGUGUCUCAAAGCACUUUGGAAAAGAAGAUAGAGGUUAAGAAUCCAGUGGGAGCAACAGGAGUUAAACCAGCCUCCAAACAGCCUGAUCACUACAAGAAAAACACCGUUUUACAACGGCCAAAACCUUCGUAAGUUCAUUGUAAAAGUCUUAUUACGACGAACAAGCGACGGUUUGGAAAUUUUCGUAAACUUAUCGUCGUAAAUGACAUUUCGUCGUAAAAGCGUCGUACAAUCUAGGACGGUUAUAAAUCGUCGUAACAUCGACGUAAACUAAACGUCGUAAAAGCGUCGUAAUGGUUACGAUGACUUUACAUCGAUUUGUCUCAAUUUGGUUUUCAGCGUAACCGUCGUAAAGUCGUCGUUACCGACGUAGGUUCGUCGUAUAAUAUACGAUGUAUAUAUCAUCGUAAUUCGAUCAUAUUAAUUUUUUUCUUUUCGACAUAAAACCGUCGUAAAACACUGACGUAUAUGUGUCGUACAAUACGUCGUAUAUUAUACGACGAAUAUUUGGUUGUAAUUGGAUCGUAUGGUUAUAUAUAAUCUUACGACGAUUUUACGACGAUUUAUUAAAUAAAUAAUAAAUAUAUUACGACGAUUAUACGAUAUUUUUUAUAAAUAAAAUUAAAAAAACAUUUAAUUCGAAUUAAAAUUUUAAUUAAAAAAGAAAUAAAUUUAAAUUUAAAUUUAAUUAAAAUUUAAAAUAAAAAAAUUUAUAUUAAUUAUAAAAUAACUUAUCAAAGAUCUAACUCUAAAAUAAUGUCGUCUAUCACCGCAUCGAUCCGCUCCGGAUCCCCAUCUUGCUCCACAGGUUUCUUGCCGGCUCUUCGGUUGGAGGUAUCCGGCACCUGAUCCCCGGCUCUAGGAGGAUCAACCCCGAGAGACCGGAACAUCUCCUCGUCUGUCUGCACUGGUGGUUGCCUCCUAGAGGAUGAAGACGAUGUCCCGACGACUCUAGCUGCCCGCAACCUAUCCAACUGCGUCUGGGGCAACGGGUUGUCGGCCCCCAUAAUCUCGAAGAGACCGUACAACUGGUCGAUCUUCGUCUCGUACAGCGUCCGCAUCUGAUGGAUCUCCUGGCGGAUAACGACUGGAUCCCAUGCCUGGACAUGUCCAGUCGCUGUAGCGAUUGGGGUAUCACGGAUGGAUCCCAUCCCUAAAACCUGGCCCUUCUUCCGAGGGGCAACCUUAAAAAAUGUAGAAAACUUAUGUAAAACAGUACAAUAUAUAGUUAAAUUUAAACUAAAUAGAAAAAAUAAAGUAAAUUAAACUUACCUCUUCGAAGAUCUGGUCCAUCUCCGCCACCGUCAAUAUCGGGGUGGACUGGACCGAGCUACUUCCGGGAGAUGUCGGAGGUGCCUGCUGGGUGAGCUGUGUAUGCUGCUCCUCAAUCCUCGCACAUGCGGCGUUGUAGAUCUCUUCCGCUCGAGGAUCCGUGAAUUCGCCGUUCUUCUUCUUAUGGGUCUCGGCGAAAACCUUCGUCAUCGGAGGAAGUUCUCCCCCGUUUUCUUCGACCUACAAAAUCAAUUUGAAAUUAUUAAUAAGAUAAAUAAGGUUUAUUAAAAAAAAACUUAUUAAUAAAAACUUACCAUCAUAAGUCGUCUCUCGGCGAAAGGAACCUGGCCGGAAGUGUGUGGGACGUUCUUUAGAUUUCCCACAACGUCAGCAACGUUCCUGAAAAUGAAAUAUUUAGUAAUUAGAUUUGUAAUUAAAAAUAUAAUAUUAUAAAUUAAACACAUUUUAAUUUAAUUUACAAAUAUACCUGGAUGUGGAACACUUGGCGGCAAUAGUCUGGUUGUUCGGGGUCAACCAAUGAUGCACCUCCCAGACGGUAUCGGCCAUUGGCGUGGCUUCUCCUUGUUGCCGUCGACCUCCCACUUCCGCUUCCAGUCAGAAACGGUGUUGUUGAGCCGGAACUUGACCUUUUCAUUGAAGGCCGUCUUCACACGUUCGUGUGCGGAAGUUUUCCAAGGCCAGUUUUGCUACAAAAAAAAAAGAGUUAGUAAUUAUUGUAAAAAAAAAAUAAAAAAUAAUAUAAACCAUAAUUUUAAAUAACUUACCGCGAAACACUUGAACCAAGUGUCAAUAGUUUCCUGAUCCAGCUUCUUCCAGCUGGUAUGGGGUUGUACGAAUAACCCCUUGAUGAUGUCGGAAACGUUACGACCGACUGCGUUAUCGGUCGUAAACCUAGUCAUUAAAAAAAAUUUGGUUAGAUAUUUAAAUUAAUUAUAAAUAUAAAUCUUUUAAUGAAAAAUUUGUAAAAAAAAAACCAAAAAUCGUACCAAAACAUCCCCGGAGCUCGAUCCGGAUAGAGUUUCUUCAUACUCCCACGACCCGGUUGCCGUAGAAGAUCCUCAACCGUAUAUUGGACAUACGGUUCAGGCGGUAUCGGGGCUGCGGCUGGUGCAGGUGCUGCUGGUUCGGCUUGUAGUGGUGGAGGCGGUGCAGGCUGUGGUACAACAAUUGGUUGUGAAACUGUACGUUGAGGAUGGCGGACCCCGUAGCUAAGGUGGACGGAGCGGUAGCGUCUGGAUCAACCAUCUCCCGAUAGUGGAACCUCUUGGUCCGGAGAGCUAUCUAAAUAAUCUACAAAAUUAAAUUAAAUAUAAUUACUAAUUAAUCUAUUUAUUUCUAAAUUCCAGAAAUUCCGAAUCUUACUAAUUCCCCUAAUUAUAUCUAUAUAAGGAUUAAAAUUUGAACAGGAAUAUAAAUUAUAAUGAAAAAACUAAAAAAAACUUACAAAUUAAGACUGGAGAGGAGGGAGAGCAAGAGAGAGAGAGUCUUUGUAGAGAGAGAGAGGGAAGUGAGGAAUGAGAGAUGAUGGAGGAAAACUCACGUCCCUUAUAUAGAUUUUGUGAUCGUUGUAAAAUCGUCGUAACGUUACGACGGUUUUACGACGAUUUGGUUGUAUAAUCAUCGUACCAGUGCAUGACACGACACGUGUCAUGCUCACAUCGUUUGAGUAUUACGACAAUUUUACGAUGAUUGUUCAUCAAACUAUCGUAAAACCGUUGUAAUAGGCCAACAUAUAUACCCUCGUACCUCGGAUCUGGAGCCAAUCCGGCGGCUGUCAGAUGUAUGAUCGUCAUUAAUGUUACGACGGUUUAAUGAACAUUCGUCGUAAAAACAUUGUAAUUUUACGACGUUUGUACGAUGGUUUUAUGAUGGUGUUUAAAAAAGUUAUCAAACCCUAAAUCUCUCAAAAGACUUAUUGCAUUAAGGACAACCCAAAGCUGAUUUUAAACUAACAUAUUACAAUAGGUUCAUCACUUUACAUGUAUGACUGAUUUAGUACAUGAGAUAACAAAUAUAUCAACCAUCUUAUCUAAUAUAUAACUUUUUACUUAACAUUUACAAAAACAUGCAUGAACUAGUAAAUAUGUAUGAUUUUUUUUUCAAAUUUCUGAUUUUGAUCAGAUUGAAUACUUUUCAUAUCAAAUAAGAUAACCUAUCAAAAACAUUUGUGAAACAUGUUGGAAAUUCAUCCGGAUCAUUCGGGUCCACCUAAUCAGAAAAAAUCUUGCUUUAAUUUCUUAAUUUUGCAAAUAUGCAUGCAACCAUAUAUGUUGGAUAUCAAAGUCUUUUAAUUUAUAUUUUAUACGUAAUUGCGUUUUUAACCACUAGGCAUAAUGUUUUUGAUCUUUACGAUCAUUGAUUUCAAUUUCAGAAACCCCAUAGAUGCAUUCUUUAACCUCAUCAACGAAUGUCCUGAAAAAAUAACUAAUAAUUAAUUAAGACUGACAGUAGGAUAUACGUAUGUGCACUGAGAUAAUCUUUUUCAUUGGACCCCCAAACUUCCUUCAGUUUUCCACUAAGACGUCCGAUCGGCGAGAAUAUGUCAAGUACACCCUUAACUGUAUAUGUAUGGCCUCUUCAAUCAUCAUAUCGACGAGUAGCUCUUUUUCGUGUUCGUACUUUUGGUGCAAAAUAGUACGGAUACAUUCACCUGUAUUGAACCGGUCCACCGAGCUCUGCUUCGUGAGGGAGAUGAACAGGAAGAUGUUCCAUAACAUCAAAAAAUGAUGGCGGGAAGAUCUUUUCCAAAUCGCACAAUAAUAUUGGAAUAUUCGAUGCCAGUUGUGCUAUUACAUCAGCUGAUAAUGUUCGUGUACUAAGAUCCUGGAAAAGUUCACCAAUGCCUCCAACAGCUUCAUAGACAUUUUUGGGCAAGAGUUCAGCAAAUGCAAAUGGAAAUAAUCGUUGCAUAAACACGUGGCAGUCAUGACUUUUUAUCCCUGCAAAUUUACCCUUUUAUCAACAGAUUUAAAAGAUUAGAAACAUACCCAUCAGGAAACUUAACGUAAGAUAAAACCCAUUUGAACAAUGCUGACUUUUGAUCUGCACUCAACCGAAAUACAGAAACUGGUGCUUUCCCGUUUCUCAGUAUAUGAAACUCACUUCUGUUGCAUAAAUCAGGCAAGUCCAUUCUUCACUUACCAUUGUCUUUUGUUCUUCCCGUUACGUUCAUAACUGUAUGCACGAUGUUAAAAAAUUUUCUCAAUGUGCAUGACAUCGAGAUUGUGUCUGAGCAGAUGAUCUUUCCAAUAGGGCAGUUGCCAAAAGAUACUUUUCUUGUGCCAAUUAUGAUGAAAUCCAUAACCUUCAGACAUAUUUGCACGAGUGUGCCAGUUUCCCCCACGCGUUACUGUUUCCUCUGCCCCCCAAUGCUCGAUUUGCGCAAUCAGCUCCUGUUAAAUUUACAGGUGGAGAGAUAUGUACACUUUUGUUCUUCCUAAAUAACCUCUUGUUCCUCCGAUAUGGAUGGUUAUCCGGUAAAAUCCUCCGAUGACAAUCAAACCAACAGGUUUUUCUACCAUGUUUUAGCUGUAACGCAUCAUUUCGAUGAAGACAAUAACAACAAGAUAACCUCCCAUGUGUAUUCCAUCCUGAUAGCAUACCAUAAGCAGGGAAAUCGCUUAUUGUCCAAAUAAGCAUAGCCCGCAUAGUAAAAUUUUUCCCUGUUGAACAAUCAUAUGUGUGAACGCCGGUAUACCAUAACUGAUUCAACUCAUGUAUGAGUGGCUGCAGAAAUACAUCGAGAGCUCGCUUCAGAUGAUUGGGACCUGGAACCAAAAUACUAAGGAAAAGAAAUUCCCUUUGCAUGCACAUAUCUGGAGGAAGGUUAUAAGAGGUUAGGAUUACUAGCCAUAAUCAAUAUUGUCUACCAGACAUACCAAAUGGAGUAAAACCAUCAAUGCACAGACCAAGAUAGACAUUCCGUUUGAACUUAGCAAAAUCUGGGUAUACCGUAUUGAAGUGUUUCCCUUUGCUUCUGAUGGAUGCACAACUUCUUCAUCUACUUGUGUAUGUUCUGCAUGUCAUCUCAUUGAUGCAGCUGUCCUUUCAGAUUGAUAAAGCCGCUUCAACCUAUCAGUUAUAGGGAGAUACCACAUACGUUGGUACGGUAUCCUUUUAUGCCCACCAGUUUGCGGCCUGUAUCUUGGUUUUUGGCAAAAUCGACAUUCCUCCGGCUGAUCAUCAUCUUUCCAAAAAAUCAUACAAUUGUCAACACAUACAUCUAUCAUCUCAGAAGGUAGACCAAGACUAAAAAUCAACUUAUAUAUUUCAUAGUAUGUUGCCGCUGCCAAGUUAUCCUCCGGUAGAUACUCUUUCAGAAGAUCAGCCCAAUCAUCCAUGCAAACCUCAACCAGGUUAUGAUCUGUUUUAAUUGACAUCAUCCUAGCUGCCAAAGAUAAUUUAGACAGAUCUUCUCUACAUCCUUCGUAGAUUGGCUGAUUAGCAUUGUCUAACAAAUCAUAAAAUUGUUUGGCAUCUACAUUAGGUUCCUCAACAUCAUUACCAGUAUGCGUUUCAUGAAAUGCAUCAGUCACCAUCUCAUGCAUCCUAUCAUGAUCUAGACCUUGAUCAGAUUGAUACUGAUUAGGCUGAUGACCAUAAUUUGAUUCAUCAAAAUCAACAUGACUUUGAUAAUUACUACUACUACCAGCAUUCCCAUGAGUAUUACUAUCAUAUCCUUCUCCAUGUAGAUACCAAACAAAAUAUUGCAGCAUAAACCCUCUAUUUAAUAAAUGCGUCCACACGGUUUUGGUUAGUGUAUACCUUGUAUUCUUGUAUUUCAAACAAGGACAAAACAUCUUUGUGGCCUGAUACAUGAAUAUUUCUAACCCGUUCUUGAACUCUUCUGUCAACGCCCCAUCUGAAUCUUUACGCAUAUACAUCCAGCUUCUUAGCUCGUAUAUAGACAUCUUGAAAAUAACUCAAAAAAACUAUCUCUCUCUAUUGUUUAGACAAUAUAAGAGACGGUCUCUUGUGUCACGUGUAGCCGCGUGAAUGGAGAAACCUUUCAAUAUUGUUACUUCUUUUUUCAAAGAAAUUACUACUAAUUCGGGUUUCCAGCAAUGGACAACCCAAUAUAUCAGGUUUUACAACAAUAUAAUAAGGUUUAAGAGACCAAAAAUGGGUCUCCAGGAUGCUGAUGCUCUUUUGUUUGAAUGAUGAUGUGUUGUGAAUGAAAGAAGAAAUGAAGAUGUAUUUAUAACCAAAUUUUGGACUUUACGACGCUUUUACGACAAUUUUUUACAUCCAACCUUCAUAUUACGAUGAUUUUACGUCGAUUGUGCGAUAAAAUAUUUCAUCGACAUUAGUUAGGUAAACAUGUUUUAAAUGUUCUUCACCUACCUUCUUUGCCGACGUAAAAUCGUCGUAACUGUACAUCGGAUUAGGAUCGUCGUAUAUUCAUCGUAAUGUUACAUCCAAAUUACGACGAUUUUGCAAUAAAUAUCAAAUCUCUCUUUAUCGAUGUAUAAUCGUCAUAAAGUAUCAUAAAUUGUACGUCGAAGUUACGACGAUUUUUUUUACGACGUUUUAUUUUUCCAUCGUAAAAUCAUUGUAACAUCGUUGUAUAUUUGUGACGACUUAUAAACUGUCGUAACAGACCGUUGGAAAACGAUUGUUUACUUGUAGUGGAUGCAGCUCAUACGCAGAGCACAAAACCAAAGUAUGGGCCACAUGUCAACACAGAGCAAGGUAAGCCAUCUAAACUCUCUAAAACAAUCUGUUAUAGGUGUCAUCAGAGAAGUCAUUUUGCUAAGACUUACCCAAAUACAAAAUCAGAGGAUACUUCAUCAAUUGAACCAGAAAAAUAUGAAGCUAGAGAAGUAGAAAAAGAUGAGUUAUAUUGUGAAAUUUCCAAUUCAGAUCUAAUGUGCUUGUCUUUGCCAAAGGUUAUUGAUGCAUGUUUAAAUCAUGGAGAGCAUCACUAUUAAGAGAUCAAGACGUGCCAACCUGCCACUGAAAAAUAUGAAGUUGUCACUAUCUUCACUCCAAUCCAAGAGGAGCCACCAGAUCUUACACUGAAUCCAAAUGUCGUGGCAACAAAGAAAACAGAACUAAUCAACAGUUCUGAUCAGGUAAGUAUUUCUUUAGCACCAUUGAAUUCCAACACUUCAAAUUCUGUGCUGUUACACUCAUUAAAUCCAGAAGAAGUUGAAUUAAAAGAAGUCUUGGUAGAAUGCAUAUCAUAUAUCGAACCAGACAUGAAAAAGAGAUAAGAACAAGUGUUCCAAACAAAAAUCAUGUUCCAUUGCUCGUAAAAAUAUUUUGACCGCGAUAACACACUUGUUUCUUGUCCAAAAAGAAAUGGUAAUUGCAGGAACUGACGAGGAUCCACAAGAAAUCCAACAGAAAGAAAUCAGUAUAGAUGCCAUUUGUAAAAUGGAGGAUUUUACAACGACAAAAAACUUGCUGCCCAAAGAAUUUAUCAACAGACAUGAGAGAGAGGUCACUGCUUCCUUAGUGAUAAAAGAAGAACCACCAGAUGCCCAAAAUAAACCAAACCCAAGCCACAAGCAAACCAUGACCCAAGGUAACUCUCUAAACCCUCAGGAAAAGCAUGAUCCUAACUUGCUCUAUCUUUGUGCAGGUCAAAGAGUUUCGAGGACGAAACUUUUCCAAGGAGGAGGGUAUGAUGUGGUCAUCGACCCAGCUCACCAUCACAAAGAGACCCCAAUUAUCUGUAGCCGAGAGAUGCCUUAUAGGAGCUGAAACGGAGAAAACAAUGGAACAUAAAGGCGAGCCCAACAGAAGCAGAAGUGAAAAUUUGGAGUUCACCAACCAAAUUUCAUCUGGAGGAUAUGAUCGAGCCAAAACACUUUUGGGUCGAUCCAGAAAUGAAGUUACCCAAGAAUCAACUCAAACUCUUGGCCAAAGCAUGUUCAAGCCACACAAGGAGACCCAUGCACCAUAUUCAGCACUGAUGAAGUCCGAGAUCAACUAGUACAGCUCGACCAACACUUGUAUUACAUUUCUAUCUCAUCCAGUGAACGCCUCGAAGUGGAAUCAGCCCAAUUGGAUCCCAGAGAAAGGAGUUAUUCAGCUUAUAAAUUAGGUGAUGCACAACUUCUACGAUUUGAACAUACGUUCCUUAUUUGGAGGUUUCCGACAGAACCAGAAGGAUUUAAGCUGUGAGCCAACUUGUUCCCGAUUUGUGAUUCAUCAUAGAAUCGGAGGCAAUUGGAAUCAAACCAAUACCGGUUAUGGUUAGAAAUUUAUUCACUUUUUAAGUUGGAAGAUCUGUUUCAGACCCAAUUGCACAGCGAGGUUGAAGAUCGUACUCUACAGCCCAACUCAUCCACGUUCUCAGCCCAAAAUUACUUGGAGAAUAUUUUUUGGUCUUUCCUGGAUCCAACAAGCUCAAGAUCCGAAGAAUUUCCCAUUGAAACUUCAAGUUACACCCAAAUUCUCAAAACGGAUUGACUUGGUUCUAUUUAUGGCAGGUCCGAGCUCUGACUGGUUUAGAUCGCUAUCUACAAGAGUUUGGCGCCCAGGAGAGACUCUAAGGCAACUAAAGAAGCUUAGAAACACCUUACCAUGCACUAGCAUCUACAGGAUCAGGCGGAUCGUCUUGCAAGCUUACUUUUCUUAUGUGGCCGCAUUCACACUCGGUGCCAUUAAUCACCAACGGCUCUUUUCCUUUGAAUGCUACGACUUGGACGUGUUAUAAUCGUCAUAAAGCAUCGUAAAAUACACUAUUUACAAGUUAUUUUGUGUACACAUUUAUUUCAUUCCCCCAAAAAUACAUCAUUUAUAAGUAACUUUUUUACGUAUAUCCUUUUUCUCUUUAAAAGAAAAUUUUCAUUAAAAAAACUUCAAAAUUUCAGUAGUUCCCAACUUAAAUCUCCGACUUUUUGGGUUCCAGCUUUAAAAUUUCAAGUUAAUUAUUUUUCCAAAACAAACCUUCAAGUUGCAUAAAAGUGUGCACAAUCGAGAGUUUACUAAGAGUCAAUGCUGUUGUUUAACGGUCAAUGUUAGAAAAUAAUAGUUUUAAAUAAUAAAUUUAUUUAUUUUUUAUGAAAAAAAAUCAAAAUAAAAAAAUAACAAAAGUAUUUUUUCAUUAUUUUUUUUUCAACACUUAACGGUUAAUAUAUUAUAUUGUUAAACUAAUAACUUUAAUUGUAUUAAUUUAUUUAUUAAAAAAUUAAAAAUCUUCUCAGUUGCAAAUCUUUUCAAGUGUGACCAAAUAAUCCAUUGGUCGAUCUUAUGUAUUCACCAUUAGGGUUGAGAAAGGAUCAAAGUUUUCUUAAUGAGAACGAGAAGUAAAAGGUAAACUCAUUAGAAGUUGUGUCUCUAGGUACCGGAGUUGAACCGGUUUUUUAUAGAAAGAUUUCUCAAGCGUGAAAAUCAUAACGGAGAGGUCAUAGGCGAGAGAAUUGUUUUUUUGUAUUUUUUGUUUUUAUUUUGAUUUUUUGGUUUUUGGUUUUUAUGUAAAAAAAUAAAUAAUUUAUUAUAUAAAAAUUAUUAUUUUAACGUUGAGCGUUAGACAACAAUGUAAAUUGUUAGUCAACCCUUGAUUGUGCACACUUUAAUGCAACUUGAAGGUUUAUUUUGGAAAAAUAACUAACUUGAAGGUUUAUAGUAAAAAACCCAAAAAAGUAGAGGUUUAAGUUGGGAACCGCUGAACAUUUGAGAGUUUUUCUGGUAAUUUCUGUUUUUUUUUAAAGAACAAUAGAACAAAAAUAUUCUUUACUAAAUUCAAAGAAACCCAAUAAGAAAAAAAUAUUCUUAUCAUUUAUUCCUUUAGUGGUCACACUAGUUUGAGCCUUAAGAAAAUCUGUUUCUUUAGUUUUUUGGAAAUCAUAAAAUAAUUGAACAAAAAUAGCUUUUGGGUGAGUUCUAGCUAAUGGUCUUUGUACGCUUAGUUGGCCCAGCUCCUAUCAGCUCACUAAAGCCCAUACGUAGAUUUACCUAAGAGACUUUGAGUUACUUUAGUCAGAAUGUCAGAUCUUCUAUCACCUUCCGGCCAAAUCAAUUUUGUAAAGACUAGUUUCGUACCAUUUCAUUGAAGCUAUUUCCAAUAAGUACAAAAAAAGGCGACAGAAGCUUGUAUAGAAACAACAAUACUUCUAGUAAUACAAACAAGAUACAACAAUCAAAAUACAACAAGAAACCCACAGCCAAUCGAGUCACAAAACACGUAAAAAGAAAGCAAUCCCUCUGAAAAGUUACUUACUAUAUUACCAAAUUUACUUGGAAGUAUCUAAAACUUUCAUGGAGAUGCACCACUGCUUCUGGAACGAUACAUAGUGGCAAAAUCCAAACUUAAACGCCGGUCCCUUUCGUCUCCCCAGCCUCCCCAACCUUUGAAACCAGCUUUAUAACCAGGUUGAUGUUUAAACACCUAAACUCCCCAUCCUUUAUUUAUGUUCACAACUUUAUCUGUUUAUUUAACCACAAUGUUUACAACCCCAUUAUCAAUACAGUCACCUUCCUCUCCUCUACCUUGAUGCAACCCACAUUUACCAAAGUGUACCGCACUGGUCCUAGGCCCUCUCAAUGUGUAAACAGGUGAACCAAACGAAGGGAAAACCGUUGCCCACAUUACAUCCCAAUUGUAAUCAUCAAAGUAACAAAACUCUCUUGCCUUCUGGUGUAUAUUCUCCCACAAACUUCUAUUAAAGGAAUACCCGAUAUUGUUAAUUGGUAAGAAGCACAAACCGUGCCCUUCUCUGUGUCUUUCAUUAUCAAUAUAUAGUGUUACAAAUGAAUCAAUCAAGAUCAAUCAGAGUAAAUACAUAAUAUACGGUAUAAUAAUUCUAUUAUUGAGUUUCCUAUUCUAUCACUCCCCCGCAGUCGUAGCGUUGGAUGGUUGAACGUUUAGACUAGAUCGAAAACUGGUAAAAAGGGAUGAUGGAAGUCCCUUAGUGAAAAUAUCUGCAUACUGAUGAGCGGAAGGGACAUGAAGAACACGAACACUGCCAAGAGCAACACGCUCUCGUACAAAAUGAAUAUCGAUCUCCACGUGUUUGGUGCGUUGGUGUUGAACUGGGUUUGUGGAAAGGUAGACCGCGCUGACGUUGUCACAGUAAACAAUCGUUGUAGUGGUAAUAGGGCAACGAAGUUCAAGGAGAAGGUUUCGGAGCCAAGUUGUCUCAGCUACCGCAUUCGCAACACCACGAUACUCGGCUUCAGCGCUAGAACGAGAGACAGUGGGCUGUCGUUUCGACGACCAAGAUACAAGGUUGUCACCGAGAAAUACACAAUACCCAGAAGUAGAUCGACGAGUGGUGGUACAGCCUGCCCAAUCAGCAUCGGUAUAAGCUGUGAUCUUAGAGAUAGUGGUUGGUUUCAACUGAAGACCGUGUGUGAUGGUGCCUUUGAUGUAGCGUAUUAUCCGUUUGAGAGCAUUGAGAUGUGGCUCUCGUGGGUCAUGCAUAUGAAGGCAAACUUGUUGGACGGCAUAUGCUAUGUCCGGACGCGUGAACGUAAGGUAUUGGAGGGCACCAGCAAGGCUGCGAUAGAGAGUUGGGUCGGCGACUGGUGGUCCAGCAUCAGCAGCAAGUUUGGAGGAUGUAUCAACUGGGGUGGAGCAAGUGUUGCAGUUCGUCAUUCCUGCACGAUGUAUGAUGUCUGCAGCAUAAUUUUGUUGACUUAAGAACAUCCCAUUUUUGUCCCUGUUAAUAGCAAUGCCCAAAAAAUAGUGAAGUUCGCCUAAAUCAGUCAUAGAAAAUUCAGAGUUAAGGGAUGUUAUGAUCGACCGUAAUAGUGAAGUGGAGGAUGCCGUGAGUCCAAUAUCAUCUACGUAGAGAAGAAGAUAUGCCAAAUCUUUCCCGCGACAUAAAACAAACAGUGAUGCAUCGCAUUUGCUUUGUUUGAAGCCGAUUUUGGUGGCGAAGGUGGCGAAACGUUGAUACCAAGCGCGAGGCGCUUGUUUAAGUCCGUAGAGAGAUUUUUUGAGAAGACAUACAUGCGUAGGCCGAGUGGGAUCAACAAAUCCUGGGGGUUGAUGCAUAUACACUGUUUCGUCAAGGUCUCCGUAUAAGAAUGCGUUUUUAACGUCGAGUUGACGCAAAGGCCAAUUAAGAGAAACAGCGAGAUGGAGAACGGUGCGUAUUGUCGGGGGGUUUGACGACAGGGCUGAAAGUUUCAUCGCAAUCGAUGCCAAUUUGUUGAGAUUUUCCAUUUGCGACAAGGCGAGCUUUGUAUCGAGAAAGUCGUCCACCUGCAUCAAAUUUAUGUCUAAAGAGCCACAUAGAACGCACAACGUUAGUGUUUAAGGGCCGUGGGACAAUUAUAAACGUGCCACUCUUUUUAAGAGCAUCAUAUUCAACAUGCAUUGCAUCGUUUCCAAUACUUGUCUUUUAAAGCUUGGAUAUGAGAUAUAGGGAGAGGAGAAAUUGUAUCUGUAUGAAGGGAGAAAAUCUGCUUCUUUUUAGUAAUUCCACUACGGCUCCGUGUUUGCAUCCCGUGAGAAGGAGGAAGAGAAGGUGGAGCUUGCGUUAUUACAUCACUCGCAGGAUCCGUCGACGGUGCCAGCGGAGCUGGCGGUGGUGCUUGUGGAGCUUGUGGUGAUGGCAAAACAGAGGGUGGAGCACGUGGUGUAGAAAAAUUCGUAGCAGGAAGAGAUUGGAGAAGGGGAUGAUAAGAGUGUGGGGAAGUUGGUGUCGAUGGAUUAGUUUCAGAAGCAGAGUUUUGAAAGGGGAAUGAGUUUUCAUCAAAAAUGACAUGACGAGACAAUAUUAUUCGUUUUGUGGCAAUAUCUAAGCAUCGAUAGCCCCGAUGAUUAGAGGGAUAACCCAGAAAAACACAUUUAGAAGAGCGAGGAGCAAGUUUAUGGAUAGAAGUUGGGAGAAGAUUUGGAUAACAAAGGCAUCCAAAAAUUCGAAGGUGAUCAUAGGAGACGGCUUUUUGAAAGAGACGAGUAAAGGGGAUUUCAUUGUUUAUUGAGGAAGAAGGAAGAAUGUUGAAAAGGUGAGCUGCCAUAUGGAGAGCUUCGACCCAUUAAGAAGGAGGCAUAUGGGCUUGAAGAAGAAGAACACGAAUAAGAUUGUUGAGAGUUCGAAGAGUACGUUCGGCACGACCAUUUUGCUGGGAGGUAUGAGGGCAAGAGAAUCGAGAUUGGAUGCCACUGGAGGAGAUAAAAUUUUGAAAUUCACGACUGGUGUAUUCACCACCAUUAUCACAAUGAAAAGCUUUAAUUGUUUUGUGAAAUUGUGUUUGAACAUAGCGAAAAAAAUGUAGAAAUUUAUUGAAAACUUCACUCUUUUGACGUAAAGGAUAAACCCAAAGAAAGUGGCUGUAUUGAUCUAAGAAAAUAACGUAAUAUCGUAUUCCACUGACACUUGGAAUUGGAGAUGUCCAAAUAUCAGAGUGUACAAUAUCGAAAGCAGAAAAAACUUGCGAUGAAGAAGAUAAAAACGGUUGCCGAAUAUGCUUCCCUAGCUGACACGGGUGGCACAAGGGAGACGUAUCCAGUUUUGAACAUUUAAGAAAUCCAGAAGACACUAAAAAACAAAGCGUCGAGUUCCCGGGAUGACUGAGUCGUCGAUGCCAAACUGAAGCGGAAGGAGAUGUUGAAACAAAAGCUUGAGGGAAAGGAGAUGUGGUUUGAGUGACGGAGUAGAGAGGGCCAUCACUAUCACAUCGGAGUAGAGGAGCUCGAGUUUGAAGGUCCUUAAUAAGAAAACCGAAAGGGUCAAAUUCAACAGAGCAAAAAUUAUCUUUAGUAAACUGACGGACAGAAACAAGAUUUUUUAAAAUUUCAGGGCAAAGAAGGACGUUUUGAAGAUGUAAAGGCCGAGAAGAUGUUGAAAUUGUAGAUUUUCCCAUUGCUGUGGCAGGUAAAUUGGACCCAUUACCCACCGUGACUAAGGGAAGAGAAGAGACGGAGGAUGAAGGGGAAGAUAGAGAAAUCAUACCUGGGUGUGACGUGAGGUGUGCAGUGGCACCAGUAUCCAUGUACCAUCCAGAAUCAGCGGGGUCCUGCAAUGUCAUUGUGUUGAAUGCACUUGCGAGGGCAGUUGGUAUGAACUCUUGAUUCAUUGCUCCUUGCAUUUGUGGCUGAGUAGUCUGAGUGAGAUAGACAGCACCACGUUGUUGCUGAGGCAUAGAUCCAAGAAUACCAGGUUGAGCAGAAGAGUAUUGAGGAUGAAAUUGUUGCGGUGAAGAAUUUUGUUGUUGCCAGAUGGGCUGUUGUUGUUGCUGCCAAUACCAUGGAGGCUGAGAAGGUUGGCGAGGAUUCCAAGUUGGAUUGUAAUUGUUGCGUCCUCGACCCUGACGACCUCGAUUUCCUUUGUUGUUGCGAUUGCCUCCUUUGUAGUUAUUGUUGUUGUUGUUGUUGUAACCACGGGAAUUGGAGAAAUCAGGUGGGUUUGACUGUUGAUGAGGAGUUGCGGCAAUGAGAAGUUGAUGGGAGGAGGCGCUAUCGUCAUUGUUGGGAGUAGAUUGUCGUUUGGUUUUAAGCCUGGAUUCUUCAUCGAUAAGCAUCGAUCUGGCGGUUCCAAAAGUGCAGGGGGGUGAUCGAUGUUUGAUAACAUUGAUAAUGUUAUCAAAUUUAGAGCUGAGACCGUUGAGAAGGUGCAUGACUAAGGCCCGAUCUGAAAUUGGAGAAUCAACAUUGGCUAGCGUGUCUGAAAUUGAUUUCAGCUUUUGACAAUAGUCGUGAACCGAAAGAUCACCAAUUGUGAGAGUGCGGAGUUCAUUUUCCAGGGUGAUUGCACGAGCCUCUUUGUUGUCGCGAAAUAAAUUCUCCAGCAUCAGCCAGAGUUCAUGGGCAGAGCACUGUGUUUUCAAAACAGAGGUGAGAAGCGAUUCAGAGAUGGUACCAUAUAUCCACAUCUUAACUGUGUUAUCGAGUUGCUUCCAUGUGGUGUCGGUCGGUCCGGUGGGAACAGCAGAUCCAUCGAUAUGGCCUGUGAGAGAGAAACUCAAACAGUGAGUUUCAAAAAGGAUGCGCCAUGAAUCGUAGUUCAUCUUGUUCAUGUCAAGAAUGAUUGGUAUGUGAGCACGGAUCUGAGUGAGACUUGCAGCGGUUGGUGUUGCAACGGUUGGUGUUGCAGUGGUGGGUGUUGCAGCGGCCGCCAUUGAUGGUUCGUCUAAUGUCGAUGAAGAAUUGCAGAGAAGUUGCAGAGAAAUUGCAGAAAGGUUGCAGAGAGAAUGUAGAGAAAGAGGAGAAUAGAGGUAGAUCAGAGAUAGAGAAGAGCAACAAGUAGAGAAAGAUUAAGGAGAAACAAUGGAAGAAGAUCGAGAAAAUAGAGAGCGGCGGCUAUAGGAGAAAGAUUUAGGUUAGAGGCAAAGCUCUGAUACCAUGUUAAUUGGUAAGAAGCACAAACCGUGCCCUUCUCUGUGUCUUUCAUUAUCAAUAUAUAGUGUUACAAAUGAAUCAAUCAAGAUCAAUCAGAGUAAAUACAUAAUAUACGGUAUAAUAAUUCUAUUAUUGAGUUUCCUAUUCUAUCAGAUAUUUCCCGUUCUCUCUGCAACCAAACUAUCAAGCCCUUCUCCUCUUGACUUGACAUCAGACGGUGCAAGAUUAGCAGCAAAGCAGUCAGGGUAUUUCGUGGAUUUCCGCUUCGUGAGAGUCUUUAUAUUCCGGUAGGCAUUAGGAAAAAGAAAGUGAUCUUCUUCGAUGAAAAUAAUAUGACCCUUGUGACCUUUAGUCUCCUCCAAUCCAUCCCAAACCGUGUUCAUCAUCCACCACCAAUGGUGCUUCAAAGACACAAUCUUUGGAGACCUGUGGUUUCCAUACUGAUCCGGAUUGCCUUCACAAUGUUUCUUAGCCUCAUUCACCUUUGUUCUUACAAUCACUCGGGGUCACUCGUCGUCUCUCCGUCGCUUACCGACAUCUCGUUCUAAAAUACUAAGAAAUUUAAUUAAUACUAUUUUCAUUGCUUUUUAUUUAUUUUUUAUUAAAUAAUUAGGGAUAUCUACAAAUUGUAGAGAGAUAUUAUAUAUAAUAUUUCUAUAAAUUUUAAAUCGACACCAAUUUUAUAAGAAUGGAAAAUAUACAUUAAAAUUUUAAAAUAUGACAUAUUAGAUUUAUAAAUAUUAUAAAUGAAUUUUAGGAAACUUAAAUUGUUGUUGAGUUCUGUGUGAGUCAAAGCCCGCACAAUCAAAACUUGUUGAAAAACUAAAGAGGUAACUGAAUUUUCUAGGAUUUUAUCGCAAGAACUCAAGAACGUAAUGAAUUUCUAUUGCUGGAAAAGCUAUAAGUCUUUGUGUUUAGAGUUGCAAAAGAUACAAAAUGAAUAACAUUUAUCGACAAUUUAUACAAGUUCUAUAAACCGCCAAUCCGAGAAUCUCGAGAAAGAUUCUCAUAAAAUUUCUUUAUCUUUUUGCACGGCCACUACCUCAGCCCUUCACCUAGGGUAAAAUGUUGUGCUCGCUUCAAUGGGCAAGACACCUGCUCGGCUAGGCCUGUUAACACUGCUUGUCUUCCGGCUCGGCCUAUUGACCUCAUAUUGGGCUCGAACCAAUUGUUUUUCCUUGAUCAGCUCCACCCAUUAUCGCAGCAAGGAACAUCCUGGUUCGGCCAAACGCCGUUGCAUGACUCGGCCCAAUUGGGCCCGUUGUUGCGGUGUUGCUCGGUCUGACCGGGUCCAUUGUCGCGGUGUUGCUCAAUCCGACCGAGCCUGUUGUCGCGGCGCGGCUCGCUCUAGCUCGUGUCACGGCUCAGGUCAGUUUGGUGGAUAUGGGCCUAAUAUCUCCCAUUUUAUACAUAGUCGUUUUUAGGACAGCUAAACUUGUCGGGGUGAAAUCCAACCUCAAUAGUUAGCCCCCCAGCUCGUCGGCUUUGGAGGUGAAGGUGAGAAGGUCAAAAUUGCCGGACCUAGAUUAGCUGUAAGAUUUUUUUUAUCCCUCCAAGCCAAGGAUGAUCAACCCACUUUUCUUCGUUCAUGCCGAGCUGAGCACGGCAUACUUCUUCCUUCUUGUGACCGAGCUGACUGCGAAAGUAAUACCGAGCUGUGGGUGAGGUCGCUUCGGUGGUCUAUUAAAGCAAAGCCUAUGACGAGAGGUUUGUUGAAAGUUAACGCUGGGGCAUUCAUUUGAAUGUGAAAAGCGAGGCGUUUUUUUCUUUAGGAAGUUAACGCCGAGGCGUAUGUGAGAAAAUUAACACCGAGGUGUUUUUUUAGAAAGUUAACACCAAGGCGCUUUUGAGAAAGUUAACACCGAGGCGUUUUUGAGAAAGUUAACACCGAGGCGUUUUUGAGAAAGUUAACGCCGAGGCGUUUUCUGAGAAAGUUAACACCGAUGUGUUUUUUUUAAAAGUUAACGCCGAGACGUUUGUUUGAAUGUUAACGCUGAUGCGUGUUUGAGAAAAUAAACGCCGAGGUAUUUACAGUGAGGCUUUUACCCCGAGGCGUGCUAUUUAGGUGUGAUGUGUUGUUGGGCUUAGUAAGGAUAGGUGACUGUUACGGAUUUCACACGCCGCUAUUCGGAGGUUUUGGGGAACUCACGCGCCGUAAAUCCCUAUAUAUACGAUGCUCACCCCUCACUUCUCCUCAUAACUCCAAAUCUCCAAAAUUUCACAAAGGUAUCUCUCCCUUCUUACUUUCUCUGUUUUUUCUUUUUGUUUUUUCGACUAAGGUUUGGACUUUGUCGCCGUCACAUCUCUGCUGUGCUGCCGUUUCAUAGCUGCAUUCCUGUACCACCGUCGACAUUUUUUCCGGUGAGCUAGUUCGUAAACCUGGUAGCGCUAUCUCCAAGCUGUAUUAUCUGUACCAGACGUAAAAAGUUAUGAGGACCCGAUCCAACAGCUUGUUAGAUACAUUAUUUAACCACGAAUAUCUCUUUCAUAUUGGCGAGGCGUCAAUUUCGGUGAGCCUCCCUCAUGAAUCUCCUUCUAAAGAUGGCGAGGUGUAUGCUUCGACAAGUUCUUCUCGAGGUCCUGCGCUACAUCUUAUCGAUAUCGCUGAAGUGAAAGCUGAGGAGGAAGAAUUUUCCUUUGAUCCGGUCGAGGCUAGGCUUGAACUGGAGCGUUCCAUGGCGAGCCAAGGCGCUUCUACCUCAGCACAGCCUAGAGCUCGGCGAAAGAAGAGGCGAAAGCCUAACCCUCCAGGAUCAACUCUGUCGACCGAAGAAUCUUUGAAAGCGUAUCCUCCACUUUGGGAUUUCUGAGGUGGUUAAAUUUAUCCUGCCGAGCCAAACUGAUCGCGCUCAUAAUCCUCCUCCGAACCACUUUACUCUAUACAAAAGCUUUUUUGAGUUGUGCUUUCUUUGGUUCCCCAUCACCAAGGUGAUCCUUUUAUAUCUUUGGAAGCACAUGAUCUCCAUAGGGAAAAUUAUGCCGAGAGGGUGGUGACAUAUGUUAGAAAUUUUGGUUUGGUGUUUUGAAUGCCGAGUCGACUUUGACCUCAAUCAUUUGCUUAACUUUCUGGAGAUUCGCAAAGCCCUAAGAGGAAGGUGAUUAUAUAUCUUCAAAAAGGUGAACUGAAAUAUCAUCUCAGGCUUCCUGAGCAAAGAUAAAUUCUGGGACGAGCGCUUCUUUUAUGCUCUGGUCAAUGAGGGGUCGCGACGACUUUGUUAAUCUGACCAAGACAGCUUGAAGACCACUUGAUAGCCGAUCUGAUGCCCUCACUUUGGCUCGGCUUUUUUUGUUUAUUUAUUCUGGUUCUUAAUGUGUUCUGUUUGUUUUGAAGUUCGAAACAUCCUUCCUCCGUGCCCUGACAACCUAUUCGUCAUUCGUGACUUUAGCCGACAAGAAAACCAACUGGAAACGUCACUUUUUUCUCGAGAGAUUUGAGAGAGCACGAGCCAUUCUCGCCGGCGUUCCCAUAAGUUCAGACUCGUCAAUGGAGACACCAGAGAAAAGAUGGUCAAGCUAACUCCCAAGGAAAAGAAGAAGAGAGGGGGCAAAGAGGCUGCAAGGCGGGCCGAGGAGAGAGCAGCUCGGGAGGCUCAUGUAAAUGCUGAAAAAGGUAAAAAUGAGGUGCCUAACUCUGACCUGGACGCAGCAAAGCUGACUGUACCUGAGGCGAAUCCCGCCGAUGCCUCUCCUAAGACAAUCCACAUUGGGGGGUCUCUAACAAGAGUCUCUCAAAAAAGUUGAGAGACUCUCUCAUUUGAGAGACUUUCAUUGAGUGUUCUAAGAUUUUUAAGAGACCCAUAUAACUGAAUAAUAUUAUUUAUUAUUAUUUUUAUAGAUGAGAGACUCUCCAAUGUAGAUGCUCUAAGGACCCUGAGAUGGUUCUUCUCGAGGUGUCUUCGAAAACUCUUACCAAGCCCCGGAAAACAUCUACUCUGACCGGAUCGGCAAUACUUGCUCUUCCUCAAACAGCGAGGCCUCCUUCCUCUACUCUUGUGAAGCAUCAGGACUUGCUGAGCUGCAAGCGCCCUGCCUUGAGAAAAGGCAAAGGAAUCGUCACCGAGCAAGACAAGCCGGCUCCAAGAAAGCUCGUUGUUGACGAUGCGACCUCGGCGGCUUUGUUUUCGAUGGUGAACAACGCCAACAAUCGAGUCCCACCUCCCAAAAAAGGUCAGGAUGGCGAAUUCCUAUGCCGCGAUGACAAAGCACGGAACAAAGGUAAUAUCUAACUCUUCUUUGUUUUUGGUUAUGCUGUUAAGUAUUGACUUGGAUUUCUUAUUCCACUUUUUAUAGUUUUACAUGACCAUUAACAAGCUGAUGGCUGACUACGAGGCGGAUGCUUGCAAGGAUGAAUGUCGUCUGGAUGAAGCAAGGAAAGAUGUAGUGGCGGUCAAGGCUAAGCUUGACGAGGUCCCGACGAAGAAUGUCAAGGCGCUGGCUCUGAUCAAGGCGUUAGAGGAGGAGAAAAUAGUCUUGAGGGCCGACUACGAUAGAGCUGCUAAUAUGGCUGCUCAUCUCGAGGAAGCUCAGACCAGAAAGAAAGCCGAGAUCGCUUCUCUGAAGAGGCAGAUCGAGGCGAAAGAUGCUCAGCUCGAGCCUCGGGUUAAACGAGCCUAGAAGAAAGCAAGGCGUGAGGCGGAGACUAAGUAUCAAAAGCGUCUCUCCAAGAUAGAGAAGAGCAUUGACGUGCUCAAGAAGGCCAAGGAUGAUGAAAAUGACGUAGGCCAGGUUAAGAGCAAUCUCAUGUUGAUCAAUGAUCUUGGGAAACCUGAUGUCCCAACUUUCGAGGCCAAAGAGGAGAAACUGAAAGACUAGGAGGCCAAUCUGGCAGGAGCGGACAAAGUGUUGAACGCAUCACGACUGAUAUUAGUGGUGAUGUGUUCCUUACCCCGGUCUCGCCAGACUCCGCGGAUUCUCGCCUUGAGAACGAGUGGUUAGAGGUUAUCGCACUACUGUUGGAGUGUUCGACCCCACUGGUUCCAAUGUUGGCACUCCAAAAGUUUCCAAUCUUACCAACAAGCCUAUCGUCGAGUCGUACCCCAAGAAUAGUGCACUUUUUAUAUAUUUCUUUUGUUCAAACAUUGCUUUUGUUUUUGGUGCCUGGAUGGCUUUAUUCAUACUUUGUUGUUGUCACUUUCUUUGUUUAGAACCUUUUAUGUUUGGAUAAUUUUAUCCGCUCUAGAAUUCCUUUUUUUGAAUGAUGAAUGUAGGCAUAUGAUUUUCUCGUCUUUCUGUUCUGAAAAUUCUUGAAAGAGAAUCAUUGUUAGAAGUAAACUGGUUAUGGUGUUUAAGUACUUUAUCUUAUGGAAAAAUAUUUUCUACGGAGUUGACGUGGUGAGAAUAAUACUUAGAGAAACUUAGUCGCCAAAGCUUCAGUGUUUUAGGUGAGACGUUUUUAUUGUUUUUUUUAAAGAUCAGCAUUUCCGAGGCGUUUUACAUGUAGAAAGGUGUAUUGCUGAUUUUAGGAAUUCACUUCGGCUUUUAGGGACUGCGAUGUAGUCUCGACUUAUAUUCUCGUCUAUGAUAAUGAUUGUAGCGACUGGUGUACUCAGUCUGAGAUAUAUAUAACGCCUUUUUUAUCCAUAUAGAAUAUUUCUUGCACCCUCGUCCUAGGAAAGAUAGUGUUAAAAUCCGUUUGGAAGAUUUGUGUACAUUAUCUUGUUGUGGCCAGCAACGAGACGAGUCAAAAUUUGUAGAGAAAAAAAUUGACUAAGUAAAAUACGUGUGCCGAGAGAAUGCUUUUGUAAUAUGACUAAAACGAGACGAAAAAAAACUAAAUAAAAAUGACUAAGUUAUGAAAUACGUCUGUCAAGGCAAAACUUUUGUAAGGUAAUUCAGACGAAAAAGGAAAAUAACUAAGUGAUAAUAUACUUUUGCCAAGGUAAUGUUUUUGUAAGAUGACUUAUGACAAGAUAAACGAAGAGAAAAAUGAUGAGCCAAAGAUUAUUGUCAAGAAUGCAAUUGAAAUUCCUGAAAAGAAGAGUGUGAGUGUGUAUACGUACCCACUUCUCCCCUGUUUUAGAAGGGAUAACAGCUGAACCUAUUCAAGGAUGGACUGCUUACGUACCAUUUGGAGGGAUCAAGCCGACUUGUAGUUCAUGAUUAUCAUGAUGCGCCUUAAUGGUAGUAUUUCUUCAAAUGCAUGGUGUUCCACGAUCUUGGGAUUGCUUUGUCUGUCAUGGUUUCUAGGUCGUAGACUCCUACCACUUUAGUGACUGUAAUGUCAUUACCAAUUUGCGUCGAGCUUUCUUGUGGUCUUCUCGGCUGUGUUCUACAAAACCUUGAUUAAAACCAGCUUUCCUUCCCAAUCUUCAACUUCGAACAUUUUUGUUGUAAAAUCUUGCCGUUGCUUGCUGAUAAUUCUGAAUUUGUAUUAAGGCUUGAUCUCGUUUCUCGUUAAUUAGGUCGAGCUCGUCUAGGAUCAUCAGGUGGUUUAAGACUUUGUGGCCAGGCAUGAGUCUUCAUCUUAUUUCACGAAAAUCCACUUCGGGAAGAAAUAUACAUUCAGUCCCGUAGACAAAAGGGAACGACAUUUCUCCCAUAGGACACCUUCUAGUUUGUCAACCCAUCAUUUUUUUUUAGCGUCGAGCCGUUUCUUAGGCCAGUAUAGAAUUGUCUUGUUACCCUGCUUUGGCCUGUCCGUUGCCAUGUGGGUAUCUUGGAGUCGAUUUACUCAGACGAAUUUUCCAGUUCUCCCAGAAGACUUCGAAGCACACAAGAUUCAUAAACACAUUAAAUGAUAUAGUAACACGAGUACUCAUAAUAUAGACAUUAACGCCGGAAACAUUUAACCUAGCAUAACUAGCAUUAUUAUAUAACAUAGUUCUAAUAUUUUAUAAUCCUAGAUAAUCAUUCACAUCAAUCAACCUAGAAAUUCUAUAACACAUUCCCAAAGAACUUCCAUGUAAGGUACUCAUUCUAUGCCACAGCCCAUAAAUGGGUAACGAUUAAUUCCUCCGCCCAAUCACAUGACUCGACAGUUAAUCCCGGUGUCAUAGCCCUCUACAGGGUUUGACAAUGGCUCGUCAGCCAUUUCUCGAUCACUAUAGCUUGACAAUCUCAAUCCCUCACUGUAGGCCGUCAAACAAAACUGUUAAGCUACAAGUAUUAACAACCUAUCAACCAGGCAACUCACGAUCAUAUAAUCAUGUUCCUAUAAUCUAAUAUCAAUUUACAAUCAACAAUUAACAAUCUUAUCAUAUUCAAUAUUUAUACCAAGUAUACAUCUUAUCACUAGAUCAACUAAUGCAUCAAAUGAAUCUACACACUGGUCCUCACCUUAAAAAUACUACAGAUUUGAGUCUGAAGAAUAGAAUUAUGUAUCCAACUCCUGGGAUACGGGACUAAACCUAGCUGGACUAAAUUUCGUGGGCCAAAAAAAAUCCAGACUAAAAUACGGUGUCUAAAACUGUCUAAACGUUUUAAAUAAUUGAAUUACCUAUCUGAACUUAUAACAUUGUGCUAAAACUUACUUUAACCAUUGAACCGUUAGUCAACAUUAACAGAAUGCUGAUGUGGCUGACAUGUCACUAUUUCGAUGUGGCAACAUACAAAACGACGACGUUUCCCGUAACAAAAAUUGGUAAUCGAAAUCUAAAAUAAUUCCUUUCCUAGGCUUCAAACCCGUGACAAUAAACACUAAAACUCAGCGUGUUAUCCACUGGAACCAUGGAAAAUUAUUGUUAAUUCUCACAAACAUAUCUAUAUAUUAUUAAUAUGUUCUUUCAUACGGAGAAUGCUUCGUUUCCGUCUAAGUUUUGAUGAAAAAGGUGGAGUUGCUAUUCUUUCUGGGGACUGUAACCUCCGAAACCUACAUACCAUUCUACAACCACACUCGAAUAACUGAAUAUAAAUAUUUAUUGAGUUUAUUACAUGAAAUUCUAAUGGGAGAGAGAAGAGAGAUGUCUACAUAAGAAACGAUAUUUGUAGGCGAGACGAAGUGUAUCGCAGUGGUGAUGCCACCUGUCUUCUUCUUCUUCAAAUGGUUUUUUUUUCUCUUCUCCCUGGAGCGAAAUUGAGAUGGGCCCAACUUCGUUUUGCUAUACAAUCAAUCCAUCUCCAUCAAAACUUGAUUUCACGAAGACACAUGUGGUUAGUCUUGUCGCGAAACAGUUUUACUUAGAUUUAUCAUCGUUUGCUGGAAAAUUGGGAGGAGGACUAUCCGGGUUUAGGAGCCGUCGAACUCUGGUCUGGUCGGAGUAAAGGCAACGACGGCUUUAGUGGAGGAAGAGAAGCAAGAUAUAGCAAAAGAGAAAAAGAAACAGAGGGUUUUAAUGGCCAGAGGUGGAAUUGGAAAAUCUCAGCGCUAAUAUAUAAUAAUGUUUGUACUAAAAAUAAACAAUGUUUCACUGCUCAAUUGGUUACUCGCUGGUACACGGUUUUUGAUGUCGUGGGUUCGAAGCCAUGGAGAAGCAAUUUUUUUUUAUUUUUGAAACAAUAAAAACGACAGCGUUUUAGCAAAGUGACAACAUGGCGUGCCAAGUCAUACUCUGUAAUGCCUCGUCAGCGUUUUAUUAACGGUUGACUAACGCUAAAAUUAGUCAAGUUAGAUUUUGACAUAUAUAUUAGAGUUCAGGUUGCAAAUUUGAAUUUUUAUGUAUAACAGAUAGUAAUUGGCACCGUAUUUUAGUCCGGAUUUUUUUUGGCCCAUGAAAUUUAAUUCAGUUAGGUUUUGGUUAUUUUCCCCCUGUGAUACACAUAACAUAAAAACUAGGGUUUCAGAUUUGCAAGUCCAGGCUGUUUCUAGGCCGAGAAGGUACAGCUAUAACUUUCGCAAUUUACUUCGUAAACUGGAUCUGAAAGUUGAUCUGGAAAAAAGGAUCCGAGAUCUACAGAUCGAUAUGUGGAAUCCUAUCUGGGUCCUUCUGGAUCGACGGCAAAACCUCUCUCAAGUUGGCUCUGCGAAACUGGAAAAAAAAUCAGAUCUGCAGAACUUUCUGGGUUUGCAAAAAUAAUAAUUUUUUACCAACUUUGAGCUCGCUUAAAAAAUGAAGCUUAACUCGGACUUAUGAUCUACAGACUGUUACGGAUUCCUUGCAGCGAGAUCUUUCCAGAGGUAUAAAUAUCGAUACCUAGCUCGAACAGAGUUAUUGGCAAACGACUCAGGAAAACUAUUACUCGGACAAAUUUUAAACUGAUGCUGCAGAGGUUUUUAUCGAAUUUCACUGCAUUAACUCUGUGUGGCUCUAAAAAAAAAAUGGCUGGCCUUUAUAUAGGGAAGGGAUCGAGCUCUUUGGGUCUAGGAUGGAGAAUAAAUGAUUAAAUUACUCUUACUUACAUUUGGGGCUUUCUUUCUUCUCCUCGACUUUAAGGAUUUCUGCUUUUCUUAUUUUUAGGAUAUCACAUCGCGUAUCUAUAUAAAACCGCUUUCCUAAUUAGUGGCCACUGGAG
rnacentral:lncRNA from 1 species